rnacentral:lncRNA from 1 species
UUUUUUUUUUUUUUUAACUGAAGGACCCAUUGGGUCUGAUUUAUUAAAAAUGAAGAGAAUUACAAAUGUGUGUUAGUGGGUUAGCCCAAAAUGCUCACCCAUUAACUCAAUCGACUAAGCUGACCAGACAAAAUUAAUUACUCCCUCUGUCCCUAUUUACCCCCCCCCCACCCCACCCCCACACACACAAAAAAAAAAAAAUCGUAUUUUUGUGCACCUUUUAUGCUUACAUGACACCUUCAAUCACCCAAAUUGGUUGUGUUUGUAACAAACCCAAAUUCUUAACUAUAUUAAGAAGAGCUAAAACGCAAUACAAUAUUAGAAUUGUGAUUGAAAUACUCAAACUACGGAAAUAGAAUGGAAAUAUUGAAAUAACAAGUAAUUAAAGAAAGAUAAGAAUAGGGAUGAGAAGCUGAGAUUAUAGAAGAAGAGGACAAACAUUUUCUUCAAUAUGCAUAAACCCUUCUUUCCAACUCAUUUUCCCUUUUAACGAAAUGCUAAUUGGGCCUUGAUCCCAAAUAAAACACUCCAAUAUUUUACUUAGCCCAAUCUCAUUCACCACCUCUAACUCGUAGGCCCUUAUAGAGCUAGCUUGGUUCACAACAGUACACCCGCCUCCAAAAAGAACCUUGUCCUCAAGGUUCAAGUCAGGAUACAUCAUUCGGCAACGUGGAGUAUAAUGAACUCGGCUAGAGCAGGCAAAACUGUGUGGGAAUAAUAUCAUAAUUUGGUUGGCAGCUUGGAGUAGUCUAGACAUGGUUGCACAAUUCUUGAUUAGCUUUGGAACAUGGCAGAGAUGUUUAAUAAUUUGAGAUAUAUCCAAAAAAGCAAUGCACCAAAACAUCUGACCCAUACUUAUGGAAGCAAUAGUACCAGUAACAUAGGAGAGCUUUGUCAUAUUUUCCAACGGCAACCAACACAUAUGGCUAACAAGAGCUGCAAUUCCCUUCUUACACUAUUCUGCCUUCGUAUCAAUUCCUUUACGAUCAAUUGAAAUAUUUACCUUGAAGUAUCGAUGAAUAGUGUUAGAAGCUAACCUUCCCCCAAACCUCUGUAUUGAAACUGAUAUCAGCCAAUUACAACCACGCUCUCUCUGAUUUACAGUAAAACUCUUCGACAUUAUCAAAUGGAGCUCAGGUAUAACCUGCCCUGCGGCCAUACACUUGUUCAAGAGGAUAACAAAAACUAAUGCAGUAUCUAAGCCAUGAUGUAAUCUAUGACGUGCAGCCCACUCUAUCAUCUCAAGGACCCCAUAAAGUGUGUAACUUGUAGAAGGGGGUUCAACCUGAAACUUCACCUUAUAUCCACUCCUUAAUACUACUUCUUUCCACUCCAGUAACAUGGUAGCAAGCACAAUAAUAUAGUGAAGAUGUAAAACUGAUGUGUGCUUGAAGUUGGCCGCCAAAACCUCAUGUUUUACAUCAUAAUUAUAUCGAUGUAAGGCUAGUGUAUAUGGAAUUGACAGACAUGUGAACAGAAUUCGCAAGUAGGAAUUUACACACCAUUAUUGUCCAGGAUCCCACACUCUAUUCAUAGAGUUGGAAUGCACAAUUAAGAAUAACCUGUCAGUACAUCCCAGCAAUAGCAGUUCUUUGACGUUGUAUACUGUAUAACUUGUUAGAACUGUGAAAUCGAAACCUAUUCCUGGAUCCCAGACACAAAGAUCCACUGCAAUCAUAGGAAUGGUUACAAUAAAGAGAUUAACAGCAGGAACCAAUAGAAAUUGACUCAUAAUAUGUUGACCAUUGAACUCCCAGGUGGAUUUUCCAUUUUCAGUAUUAGGAAGUAUUUUAACAGAAUGCAUUAAACUUAUCAAGAUAUUGAGAAAUGGAUCUUCAUUACCCACAUGUUCCAUGAAAAGGUCAGCAAGAUACAAGUCCUUGAAGCUCUCCAAAUCAGUUUUCCAUAUAGGAGAGCCAUUCGCAAGAGAGUUAACAUUUACAUACCUCGUUGACACAUCACGUUCGAGAUGUUCAUUCGGCCUAAUAACUUCUGGAGCCUCAAAAGUAAUUAGGAGUGAAACUUGAGAUGCAAUUGACCUUAUCUCCCCGAAUUUAAUGUUGUGCGAACUUUCAUUGAGCACCUGGAUGGUUACUUCAGGUUGUAAAUUGGCAUUUCGGUAGAUGCUUGUGUCGGACGCCGUAGUAACCACAAAUGCAGAGCACUCUUCAUCAUGGACACUAGCAUUAGGAUCAUGUAAGUUGGGGCUCACUGUUGUAUAAGACAUUUCAACGAACACUGUAUCCUUGGUCACAACAGAAGGUUUUUGUACCAAAGCAGUUGUUGAUUUAGAUCUCCCAUUUCGAGGAGUUAUUAUGUCAUCAACAGUCUUAAUACCAGUAAUACCUCUAUUAGUGAAUUCACAGGAAUCUACAGUGUGAUAUUGCUCAUGCAAUUUAUCAGACACAUGGUCUUCUUUCGAGUUUUGAGUUUCAUAGGCAGAUUUAAAUGCAAAUGACGUCUGAAAAUUGCUUGGAACAGUUGUCUGGACCACCAGAUAUACUUGGGUUUGGUGGCUAAAACGUUGAAUAAAUUUCUCUUUGAAAUGCAUCCAAUCGAAAAACUGCUUAUUGCGAAACAACCAAUCAAACCAUAUAAGAGCUUCACCCUCAAGGUAGUAGGAAGGAAGAGGUACCCAAUACUCCUCGGUGAAGCCAAGGAAGGCGAAGUACCGCUCCGCUCGAUAAAGACAGCCCUCUGGAUUAACAGUGCCAUUGAAUUGAUCCAAUAUCACAGCUUCAAUUAGAGUACAUCAAUGAAAGCACCCGUGUAACAAACCUGAAUUCUUCACUAUAUUAAGAAGAGCUAAAAUGCAAUACAACUUUAGAAUUGUGAUUGAAAUACUCAAACUACGGAAAUACAAUGGAAAUAUUGAAAUAACAAGUAACUAAAGAUAGAUAUGAGAAUAGGGAUGAGAAGCUUAGAUUCUAGAAGAAGAGGAGAGGACAAACAUUUUCUUCAAUAUGCAUAAACCCUUCUUUCCAACUCAUUUUUGGGCCUAGAUCCCAAAUAAAACACUCUAAUAUUUUAUUUGGCCCAAUCUCAUUCACCACCUCUAACUCGUAGGCCCUUAUAGAGCUAGCUUGGUUCACAACAGUGUUUCUACACACGUGCCUUAUAAAAUAUUUAAAUUGAUUGAAUGACUUUCUAUGUGAAAUUACAAUAUAUUGUUGAGUGACUUUCUAAGAAAUUUACCCUUAGUUGAGUGACUUCUACGUUAUACAAUAAAUUGAGUGACUUUCUAAGAAAAUUAUCCAUAUUUAUGUGAAUUUCUAAGAAAAUUAUCCAUAUUUUAGUUAUUUUCAAAAAUAAGUAUUCAUAGUUGAGUGACGCUCUGAGAUAGUUCUCUAAAUAUCUUUAGAAUGAAAUAACUACUAUAUAAUGUAGUAAUAGUCAAGUUUAGAAUUACAGAACAUCAUUAAUAAUGUAAAUUUUGUAAAAUAUACUUCCAAUUGAAACUUUUUGUAUGUCGUCAGGUCAAUAUAAGUCAAGUAAUAUUUGACUAACUUGAAACUCAUCGAAAAUUUUAACAGUGGAUUAAAGGAACUUGCUCUAUAAUGCCCAAAAAUAUUUGUCCAACGACCAUCUAUUAAAACUAUUUAGAUUAUAAGUUAAAAGAACAACUCACAAAUGACAGUGCAAAAGUCAUACUAAAAAAAGUUGAAAUUGAAAAACGACAUGCAAAAGUCAUAUAGAAUCUUCCUUAAUUAUAUUCCAACUGUGCCUCUAAAGAAAGAAUUUUCCUCAAAAAUAUUAUAAGCUUAAUUGUACAAUUUUUUCCCUAAUUGAUCAAAGGAUUUUCCAACUUAACUGCUUUCAUACAACAUAUGUCUUUGCAUGAUGCCUAUUGAGUCAAUAUUGGAUUAGGAUCUAAAAUUCCAACAAGGCCGCAUAUACUACCUUGGGGGAAAAUAAUAUUUUUUAAAUAUACUACAAUGAUUAUUCAAUCCAAUUUAAUUUGAUUGGGCAUAUGGUUUCUUUUCUUAAUAUUAAAGGUGGAAAAAGAUUUAAAAUCACCUUGACUAUUUGAAUUGGUAUAAAAUUAUCCUUCGUUCACCUUUUGGUUCUCAAAUAUUCUUGACGUCAAUCUUUUGGCUAAAAAAUAUCCUUAUUUCUAACGGUCCACACUCAUAAAUUGAAUGAAGGGAUAUUCCACCAAAUCUCAUAGUUAAGGAAAUUUUAGACCGUUCUUCGUUAAAAUAAUUGGAAAUUACUUUUAAAUAUGGACUCAUAUGAUUGAUAUGAUUUCGGGUUUCAUAGUAAAUUAAAUAUAAAUAAAAAAGUUGGUCAUUUACUCUCUAUAGUCACUUUUUUUUUUGUCCACGCCCCCUCCCCCACUUCCUCUCGCUUCCACCCUUUUUCUUGAAAAUGAAAUCAUAUUUUAUAAUCUAUGGCAUAUGUGUUAUUGUGAUGGAAAAAGAAAAUACUUACAACAACAAUUUGCAAAUUCUAUAAUCGUCCAAACAAAAACACUUCCAGAAAAAAAAAUUAUACAAGACAUUGUCAUGGAAUGUGUUUUUGAAGCACAAAAUCAAAAAGGAAAAAAAAAGAAAUUUUGCAAGUUUAAAAAAUGAAUGAAUUCAGCACCAACUACCAAAGCAGAAAUUGAGGAUGGAUAUUUUUUCAAUUGCAUUAACUAAAACAAAUGAGGAGUGUUGAAGCUUGUUUUUAGUUGCUGCAGUAAUUUUUAACAAAAUAAGUUGUUUAAAUUAAAAUGAAUUUGAAUUUUGAAUUUUAGUUAGGUUGUUUGAAUUGUUGAGAUAUUUAGGUUAUUUUAAAUUUCAAAUUAUGCCAAUUAUGUUUUUUAUGUUGACUAUUUAAAGACUAAUGCUUAGUUGAAAGCUAUUGAAAGCCAUUUCAAUCCAUUGAGAAAAAUUUAAAUAAAUUAUUUUUGCUGCCCCAUUUUUUUUUAAAACACCAACAAUCUAUCUAUAUAUAAUAGGAGAAGAACAAAGUGUCACGUGUCAGCACCACAAAAAAAAAGAAUUUAUGAAUUAUUAUAUUAUUAAUUUAAAAUAUGAAAAUAUGAAAAUCUGAAAAUAAAAAUAGAAAAUGCAAUCACUAAAGAAAUUGGGUUUUAACGUGUUUAUUGGCUCAUUUUAAAAAAAUCAAAUUUGAAAGUUGGAUUUGAGUUUAAUCUUAUUGGUUGAGAUAUAUUUAACUAUUUAAAAAUUCUAUAACUGAAAGUUACUGAGUGGUAAAGUUAGUAACUGCAAAAAUCUAUCUAUCUAUAAAAUAGUAAAAGCAUGAACAACUUUUUGGUUCAUCCGGAGAGAUACUUUUUGUCAACUGCUUCAUUAAAAGAAUUUAAAAUUGAGAAAAUUACUAAUGUCAUUUUUAUAGUAGCUUCAUCAACAAAAUUUCAAUGGAAAAGCCAAAAAAAUAGUUUAUCCUAUUGUCAAAGUUUUCCACUAGAUACAUUAAUCUCAAUAACACAUAUUACAAUUAUACAGGGAAAUUGUUGGAUUUUUUAAAGUGGCUAUAAAGUAGUGAAGAAGGAGAUGCAAGAAAAGGGUUGUAAUAGCUUAAAGAAGUUAGGAGUUUAUGACCUUUAUUCGGUCAAUUAGAUCAACAUUUUGCAUUUAAAACUCUUCUAAUGGCAAUUAUGAGGGAACAAACAUGGAUGGUGAUAAUGAACUUCUGGAUGACUCUGAAUUUUACCAGGAAUUGUUGGAUGUGUUCUUAAUUUGGGGCAGUAGAUCAUGCAUUAUAUGGUAAAUUUUUCAACCCCCUCCACCCUCUUCACAUGAGUGUCAAAUCUAUUGUUUUCACUGCAUGCAGCAAUAUGAAUAAGUUUCUAAGGAUUAUAGUUAUAGAUGAGAUUUUCUUAGAAUAGAAUAGUAUUAGUAUGAUUAUAGAUCCUCUGUUUGACUGAGAAUGCACUUAAAAUAAGUUCAUUCAAAAAGUCACUUGGUCCUUUUGUAAAGAUGAACAAAAAAACACAUAUAUGAACAUAUACCAAUGUUAUUUUUAAUGUGCAUUAAGAAAAACAUAAAUAUAAGUAUAAUCAGAAGCAAAACUUUUUAUGAAUUUAGUGAUUAACUUUUGAAUUUAGGUUAUUGAGAAUUUUAAAAUUUGCUAAUGAAAUAACUUGAUUGCUAAAUUUAUGAAACAUCUUAAACUAAUUGAAAUUUUGAUAUUAAAGUUUACUAAUAUUUUUUUUGACAUAAAACCUAUCGCCACUAAUUAUUAUGUAAUCUAUGUGAUAAGUUAUAAAUCUUAAUACAUAAUUUACAUAAACUUUCUUUUCUUACUAAUAUAUAAAGGGUUAAUAUAUUUUUUUUAUUUGAAUUGGAAAUAAGGAGUCCUUUUUAAUUAAAAUUACAAAAGCUCUAUGAUUGUGGCCGAUAUAAUUAUUCUUGGGCCUUUUUUUUUCUAUUGUUAAUUUGUUUAAAAUGGGUACGAGUUGUCAUAGAGGUGUAAAAAUUACAUUAGGUUAAGAAAAUCAUUUUAUUUUGGCAAUGAAAGAUUCAAUAAAAGAGAAUAGUUACGUAUAUAGGGUCUACGUAAAAGUCAGUUGAUUCGUCUGAACCCCCAUUUAACACUGUAGCUCCGCCCCUAACCACCAUCACCACAACAACUCCAUCUAUUUAUCCAUAUUUUAAUAUUUUCUUUACAAUUUGAUUUACUAUUUUCUACAACUAUCAUUCCAUAUCAUCAUUAAAAUUAUUACUCAUGUUGUCGGAAAAGUCGAAUUGUCCUUAAUCUGACUGUUGCAAAAAAAAAAAAAAGUUCACAAAGUAGAGACAAAAAAAAUGAGAAUAGAAUCAUUGAACACCUUCCAUCAUAAAAAAUCAUUCUAUUACUGGAGUUUUUUUUUAAAAAAAUUAUUGGAGAAAUCCAAUCAAUUAAAACAAUUACAAUUGUAAAAUAAUCUUUUUCAAUUAUGAAUUUCAUAAAGUAAACUAAACAUGAGUUAUGAGGUCUUCAUCUAUCUUAUCUUUUCUUUUUCUUUUUCUUUUUCUUUUUUUUCACUAUUAUCAAUCUGAAAAUACUUCAAAAUAUCAACAACCAUUAAUCUACUUUCUCACCGACAGAGAAAUUUCAACACAAAUUUUUUCUCUCUUAUUUUAAUUAUCUUAUAAAAUUUUUGGGUCAGUAACAUACAUCAACCCUCCAAUCUUAUAAUCUUCAAUCUCUAUUGUUAUUUGGUGAAGACCCAAGAGUUUAACCAUCUACAACAUGUAAAUAAAGCAUCCAAACAUCUCCCAUGCACCUCAACUACGUGAAGUCACGGAGUGUGCCACGUAAGGUAAAAGAUGUAUAAAAUGACAAAAAAAAUGUGUUCGAGGGGGUAAUAGGACCUUAGUUUAGUUAAGGUGUGUCCCUAAGAUUUUCGUUAUAGUCUAAGGAGGUACUUGUAUAAUAUUCCUAAAGAAAAACAGCCAACAACUGCUUAUUUAUUGCUCACUAGGUCAUUAUGGAAAAAAAUUAUGGUGGUUGAGGCACAACCAACCAUAGUUGUGUGAGGGAACCGUUUUCUUUUGACAAUUGUACUUGUGGGUCCUUUUCCUUGUUGUCACACUUUCUCUCUCACACUUUGAUUAUCUCAAAUUUUAGUCCGUUCUUCAUUCACAUUUCUUUUUUUUUCCUUUGCAAAACCUCUUUUCUAUUUUAUCUCUGAACCCUUUUUUCACCAACAUUUCUAUGGUUCUUUUUUCUUGUAGUCCUACCUCUCAGUGCAAAAAAAUGCAUUGAUACUACUAUUAUCUUGUUGUUGUCACAAAUUCACUCGGUUGAUUCUUUUUUCCCAUUAAUUUUUGUAACCUCCCGGAAAAAAAUAGGAUCUAGACUCCAAGCAUUAAGAAUUUUUUUUUAAAUGAAUCUUAAAUGAGAAACACAAAAUUAAUAUUAGUAAUAAUUAUUGGAUAGAUGCAAAACAAGUAGAAAAUUUAACAAAUAUGAAAAAUAAGAAAGAUAAUUGAGUGCUUAUGAAUAUCAUUAAGAUAUUAUUAUAAAUAUUAACCAUUCAGAUAGUAUUUAAUAAUUAAGAAUUUAGUGAUUAAGAUUGAAACACCAAAAAAUAACUUACGACAAAUUUAAACAAAAAAAUUGAAUUGUGUAAUUAAGUGUAAUAAAUAAGGCUGAUUGAUUUUUAGUAGCUCCAUUGAUUGACUACAUUAAUGAUAGCACAACAAUAUACAUGUACUCUUAUAGUUUCAUUGACGAACAAGAACCCUUAAUGAUACCAAUACAAUAUUAUAUGUACUGAUUUAGCAUUGAGUAUUGAAACUAUCCAUUAUCUUAACCUUAAUAUAAGGGGUAGUUCAAGUGUGAGGGUCCUAAAUUCUGGGGCCUCACAAUAAAAUAAUUGUGAAUUUGAUAGUUUAUGUUCUCCUCGACUAUAUUAAAUAUGGUUAAAAAAAUACAAAAUCUAUAUAUAAAUAAACAAAAAUAAUUAUCUACUUUUUAACAUAAAUAUUUUAGAACUUUAAACUAAACUACUCAAAAUCUUUCUAACAAUAAGUAAUAUUUUUACAAUAACAUCUAAGAUAAUAUCUUGAAAACACAUGAUUAAUAUCGAUCAUAGAGAAAAUGUUUAUAAUAGACUCUCAACUCAAAAAACUGUAUAUCUUUUUAAUGAGAUUAUUUUGAAUACAUUUUAAAAAAAGAAAAUUCAUAAAAUAAAGUUAUAACAUUAUGUUUAAUAUAAAAAAUGGUUACCUCAAUAAGAAGGGCUCUUCAGUACGAUCCCAAGUCCCAACCGCGUAUAAAACGAUCGGUACGGACUUGGGUCGUACCAAAGAACCCUUUUUAUUGAGGUAAAUCAAUAUAAUGUUUGAAAUACUGCAUUAAUUUUAGACAAUUAAAUAUAUAUAAAUAAUCCUUGCAGGCUUUACCCUUUUCUGAUAAUUUGGAGAUCUUUUCGUACCUGGAGAAUCGGGUUUUCAUACCAGAUAAGGUUAAUAUUUUCUUUCAGGACUGUCAAAUUUUGUUGCAUUUAUGUUAUAAAGAAAAUGUUGUGCUUGAAUAUUUAUGUCUUCAGACUUGUAAUUGUCCAAUCUUGAGUUUCAAAGUAGUUAUCGUUGUUCUUGCAGGUGGAGCUUGUUGGUAAUAUAGCAACAAUAAUAUUAUGACUUCAUCAUCACCAGCUGAUUUCAACUGUCUCGGCCAAAGCCCUAGUCAUCCAUCUAGGAGACAUUGUUCCACCGAAAGCUAAGGUAAGUUUGAUUAGUACAUUUGCUAUGACUUUUCCGAGAGAUUUCAGCAAAGUUUAAACCGUUCAACAAUGUCCAUAUCACCACAUUCUACCAUCAUUUUUAGAAACUAAGCUUGUAAAUAUGGAGAACAACUUCCUUUGAUAGGGGAUUCUAUUUUUGACAUGAAUUCACGUCUGACUAGCACAGGAAGUCAAAGAUAUCAUCGGUGUCAACCUUGCUAUAAUGGAUCAUUUCUUGGUAGGUCUUUUGUGAUUUUGAUUUUGUUAACCGCUUUUCCAAGUUCAUGAGUACGUGAUUAGGCUAUCUUUGUUUUUGACAACAAUUGAUGUCUUCUAAGUCGGAUGCUGUAUUUCGAGAUAAAACACUAAAUUAUUAGAGAUACGCGAAAUGUAUUGAAGCAAUGGAUGGAGGACAUGUUUGGUACUGACUUAUUAUUACUAUAGCUAAACAGAAGAAGUGUGAUCAUUUUUUCUUGAGUCGAAGGUCGAUGGUGAUGUCUACGUAUAUUUUACACUUCCAAGAUCAUACUUUGUGGAUUUACAUUGGAUAUGUUAUAAUUAUUGUUAUUUUAGGAUCGAAGUAUUAAUAAGGAGAAAUAGUUUACCUUAAAAUGACUAUGAAACUACAAAUACAAGUGUAAAAGUGUAGCUGAGGUAAUAAUAAGCCAUGACCAAACAUGUCCUCCAUCCAAUUUCUUCUGUUUCUUCUUUCUCUUCUUUUCUUGUUUUGUGUCUUCCCUAGCUUCAAUACAUUUCACAUUGUGUGAGCGUAUCUCUAAUAAUUUAGUCUUUUUUGUUGGAAUUAAUGCAUCCACACCUUGAUGUUUAGUCUUUCAAUAUUGUCUCUUAGUUUUUCAAGAAGUCUUUUAGGAUUUUGUAAUACAUGUAUCUAGUAAUUUGUGAUACAUGUAUCUAGUUAAUUGUGCAAGACUUUUUAUUUUCUAUUUUGAGUAGUAUAAAUAGUGAUGUAGUUGAUGAUUGUAAUCAUCUCAAGUGGCCUUAAGUAGCCUAUAUAAAACUUGAGCAUCUUUUAAAGAAAGUAUUCUCCUUCUAUAUUCCUACAAAUUGGAAUCAAGAGCAAGUUUUCGUUCUUAAUCGGGGCUAGGUGGAAAAAAAAUAUGGCAUCCAAAACAAAUGAAGGUGCUGAUUCUUCAGUUGUUCUUACUCCAUUUUUUUAUGGAACUGAUUUUGAAUACUGGGAGAUAAGAAUGAGAACACAUUUGAAAGCUGAAGGUUUGUGGACUAUUGUUGCAAAUGGCUUUGAAGAGCCAGAAAAUGAUGGUGAACUUACAACAGCAGAGAUGAAAAAUCUUGAGGCUAAGUAUCGUCAAGAUGCAAAAGCCUUGAACAAAAUCCAAAUGGGAGUCUCAAGAGCAUAUUUUGCAAAAAAUGCUACUUGUGAGACUACAAAGGAAGCUUGGGAGUCUCUAGAAACAGAGGUGUACGGUGACGAAAAGGUACGCACUAUAAAUCUUCAAACUCUUAGAAGAGAGUUUCAAAACUUGAAGCUGAUAGAAUCUAGAAAAAUAGAUGAAUAUUGCACAAGAGUCAUGAAUAUUGUUAAUAAAAUGAGAAAUCAUGAUGAUACAAUUUCUGACCAACAAGUUGUGGAAAAGAUUCUAAUUAGCGUCACAGAGAAGUAUGAGUACAUUGUUGCUAUCACUGAGGAGACGAAAGAUCUUUCUAAGCUUUCUAUCAAAGAGCUAGUCGGAUCAUUUCGUGCACACGAGAAACAAAGGUUUUUUCGUGAAGAACAACCCAAAGAGACGGGUUUCCAGUCUAGAACAAAUGAAAGUUCUCAAAAUUUCUCAAAAAAACAACAAAAGAAGAAUUACAAUCCAAAAAAGAAGCAGGAUCAUGAUGAUUCUUCUAAGAAGGUUGAAGAAAAAGGUGAGAAAAGUACUAGUCUUUUUUGUAAAAUUGCAAAAGGACUAAUCACAAAGUAGAAAAAUGUUGGCACAAAGGCAAGCCCCAAUGUAACUUUUGUAAAAAAUUUGGCCACAUUGAGAAUGAUUGUUGGCACAAGCAACAGGAGCAAACAAAUUUCUAUGAAGAACAUGAGGAAGAAAAUCUUUUCUUUGCUUCUCAAUGUGAUGUUUCAACAAAAAGCAAUGAAUGGUAUAUUGAUAGUGGUUGUAGCAAUCACAUGACUAGAGAUGAAAAAAAUUUCCUCUCGAUUAAUAGUAGCAUCACUACUAAAGUGAGAAUGGGGAAUGGAGCCUUAGUUGAUGCAAAAGGUAAGGUACCAUUUCGAUUAACAUAAAAGGGAGCGGUAAGCAAAUUCAUGAUGUGCUUUAUGUUCCUGACUUGGAAGAAAAUUUGCUUAGUGUUGGUCAUUUCAUGGAAAAUGGUUAUUCUCUUGUGUAUAGAGAUAAUUAUUGCUAGAUUUAUGAUAAAAUUGAGCUAAAUCAAGUCAUUGUUGAAGUAGAGAUGAUAAAAAGAAAAUUUCCUUUACAAUUUCAUUACAAUGCAUUCAAAAAUGAAGUUGUAGAUAAUUCAUGGAUUUGGCACAAAAGAUUUUGUCACUUGAAUUGUCAUGGUUUGAAGCUUCUCAAGCAAAAAGACAUGGUGCAAGGCCUUCCUGAGAUACAUACUAAGAAUAAGGUAGAGAAUACUUCUAUCAUAUAUUUAGAUGUGUCAAAUCAAGAAGAGGAUGAGAAAGAGGAAAAUGUCCCUCGAGGAGGAGAAAUCUCAAAUUCAGAUGAUGAAGAACCACCUCCAAGAGGAACAAAAAUGUUGAGUGACAUUUAUCAAAGAUGCAACUUUGCCGGUGUUGAGAAAGAAAAUUAUGAGGAGGCAAUAAAGCAUGAUGUUUGGAAGAAAGCCUUGGCAGAAAAAAUUCAGAAGAUUGAGAAAAAUAAUACUUGGGAGUGUGUGAGUAUACCCAAAGAAAGAGAAGUUGUAAGUCUAAAGUGGAUUUACAAAAUCAAACUCAAUCAAGAAGGAAGUAUUCAAAAGCACAAGAGAAAGGCAAAAUUGAGUUGCAAUUAUUGUCAGACAGGAGAACAACUUGCUGACAUCUUCACCACAGCACUUCCAAGAGAAAAGUUUUGCCAUCUUCGAGAAGGGCAUUGGAGUUGUCAAGCAAAUGCAUUAAGGGGGAGUGUUGGAAUUAAUGCAUUCACACCUUGAUGUUUAGUCUUUCAAUAUUGUCUCUUAGUUUUUCAAGAAGUCUUUUAGGAUUUUGUAAUACAUGUAUCUAGUAAUUUGUGAUACAUGUAUCUAGUUAAUUGUGCAAGACUUUUUGUUUUCUAUUUUGAGUAGUAUAAAAAGUGAUGUAGUUGAUGAUUGUAAUCAUCUCAAGUGGCCUUAAGUAGCCUAUAUAAAACUUGAGCAUCUUUUAAAGAAAGUAUUCUCCUUCUAUAUUUCCUACAUUUUCAUCUCGAAAUACAACAUCCGACUUUGAAGCUUUUAAUUGCUGAGGAAAACAGAAAUAGUCUAAUCACACAUCCUUAUGAACUUGGAAAAGACGUUGACAAAAUCAAAAUCACAAAAGAUGAGCUACCUUGAUAUGAUGCAAUUUAGCAAGGUUGACACCAAUGAAAUCUUUGAGUUCCUGUGGUAGUCAGACGUGAAUUCAUGUCAAAAAAUAGAUUCCCUUAUCGAGAAAAGUUGUUCUCCAUUUACAAUCUUAGUUUAUAAAACGAUAUUAGAAUGGAAGUCGUGGACAUGGCUCAACAGUUUAAACUUUGCGUAGCAAAUGUACUCAUCAAAAUUACCUUAACUUUUGGAGGAAUAAUAUCUUCUAGACGGAUUACUAGGGGUUUAGCGGAGGCAGUUGAAAUCAACUGGUGAUGAUGAAGUUGCAAUAGUAAUGUUGAUACCCGACAAACAAGCUCCAACUGCAAGAACAAUAAAAGGAUAACUAUCAGUGAAAUUCAAGACUGGACGUAAACAACAAGAUAGAAACUUCAUUCAAGCAAUUCAUACUUGGUACAAUUACAUAUAGGGUCUACGUAAAAGUCAGUGGGUUCGUCCGAACCCUCAUUUAACACUGUAGCUCCGCCCCUGUCAACCACCCAAAUUGGUUGUGUUUCUACACACGCGCCUUAUAAAAUAUUUAAAUUAAUUGAAUGACUUUCUAUGUGAAAUUACAAUAUAUAGUUGAGUGACUUUCCAAGAAAUUUACCUUUAGUUGAGUGACUUCUACAUUAUAAAAUAAAUUGAGUGACUUUCUAAGAAAUUAUCCAUAUUUAAGUGAUUUUCUAAUGAAAUUAUCCAUAUUUUAGUUAUUUUCAAAAAUAAGUAUUCAUAGUUGAGUGACGCUCUGAGAUAGUUCUCUAAAUAUCUUUAGAAUGAAAUAACAAAGUUGUAGUUUCGAGUGAAAAAGUUAAACAUAAGCUUCUCAGGGAACAAGAGACUUGAAAAAGUAAAAGAACAAUGAAAACCUCGAAUGCUGACAAGUGGCGUUUACAGGGGCAUGAAGGACCUGUGAUGGGGAUGGCUUGUGAUGCAUCAGGUGGAUUGCUGGCAACAUGAGGGGCUGACGGAAAAGUUCGUGUAUGGGAUGUGGAUUGGGGCUUCUGCACUCAUCAUUUCGAAGGUCAUAAAGGAGUUUUCACCAGCAUUAUGUUCCAUCCUGACCCGAACCGGCUGCAGGUGAGAUCUGGAUUGACGUAACUACUGUGCGUGCUUCCUUGUCAAUAUUACAAAUUGUGUCUGAUUUUUCAGAUAACUGGCGAAACCAGAAUACAGCUGCCAUUUUCUUGGUCCAUUGGGCUUCCCUUAUUCUGAUUAGUUUUGAAUAACUUUUUGUGGAAGUAUUUUGCUAUAUCACAUAGAUUCACUUACAUGUACAUUGAUAGUAUGGGUGUGUAUUGAUAGUAUGUAAAAGAGAAAUGUCUGGCAAAACUAGAGAAACAUCAAUCAAACUAUAGUUACUAGUGUUUGACGCUUUCUUUUUUUCUUUUCUAGUUCGGAACACGUUUAACGUCAUUUGUGGCACUUGCUGAUACUUAUACUGAUAAAAAUGACAGGUUGUAAAUCUGUGUAACUUGCACGACUACCGCUGCCUGACCACCAUACCAACACUUGAGUCAGUUGAAACCGUGUGUAUGAUUGGUUCAGACUCUCCUUUUGCUGCAGGUCUAGCUUCAUCAAAAAAUCCACAGGCAAAGAAGAGGUGAUGUACCAUCAAUUAAUUUCAUCACUGUUGGUGAGCGUAGAUUAUUACGGAUAUGGAGUUCUGAUAGGUACUUGAGAAUCAAUUUAGUGUUUUUAAGAUGAUCGAAUGUUCAACGUAGUCAAAAUAGUUGCCAACAUGUAUCAUAGUGUGACGAGAAACUCAGAACUUCUCAAGCAUUCUCUGUUCAAUUUUUAUUUUUUUUUGCUUCAAUCUCCUAAAAUGUGGUGGCUUGCUUCACUAUUCAAUAAUAACAUCUUUUUUUUUCUGCUAUUCUUAAUUCUGGUGUUUCCAUAGGUUAGGUUAUGGGAUUGCGAGAACAAGGCUUGUGUUGGCAUAGGCAUAGGUCACAUGGGAGCUGUUGGUGCUGUUGCUUUAUCAAAGAAACAACAGAACUUCUUCGUUAGUGGUAGUAGGUAAGUGAUUAUCCCUGAACUCUGCAGUGGUCAUAUCCUUCUUCUGCAUAUGCAUGUAUAAACAUGCGCUCCUCUUUUAUUAAUCUAGUUAUGCCACUAUGAUGAUUCUGCUUGUUUGAUAUUUGUAUUAUGUACUGCGAAUGAAGAUUUAGUACUGAAUCGAGUUUGCCCUUGGUUCUGCUGACUUGAGUUGAUAUUUCUUUUACUGGUUGAGUGCAAAUAAGAUUCUGAGGAAUAAAACCCUACGUCAUAUUUCAACCAAAAACAUGAGAUUAAAGAUCUCUCUUCUAUUGAGCUCUAAGGUUCAGUCUCCCUUUAACGAGCUGAAUUCUAUUCAAAAUAGGUCGAUCUAAGAGCUCAAACAAAUGGAAGGGAAAUUCGACGUCGAUAGGUUUAGAUUUUCCUGUUCGUCAUCCUAUGACUCGAUUCUUCUCUUGAAAUCUUAACGCAAACUAAUCUAAAUGUUUCUUUAUCAUAUUUUCUAGAAGUUAUAUCUUUUAUCUUUCUACAUUUUUCCAGUGACCGUACUCUAAAGGUAUGGAAUAUGGACGGUGUCACUGGCAACAAUGAAGAAAUUAUAACUCUGAAAGCAAAAGCAGUUGUAGCAGCACAUGACAAGGAUAUUAACUCUUUGGCAGUAGCACCAAAUGACAGUCUUGUUUGCAGUGGUUCCCAGGUUGACAUCUUAUUAAAUCUUGGCAUAAAAAUCUGCCAAAGGAGACGAAAUUGCUUCUUGUAUAUUUUCUGAUCUCGUCAUAUUUUACUAGGAUCACACGGCCUGCAUAUGGAGCCUUCCAGUGUCAGUGGAAAACAUUUUCCAUGGAAAACAAUUUCCUUCAUACCAAACACACCCCUAGUGUCAGUGGUUACACUGAAAGGGCAUAAAACGGGGAUAUGGUCUCUGGAGUUUUCUCCACUUGAUCAUUGCGCGCUAACAUAAAGAUAUGGGCCAUAUCUGAUAGAUCAUGUCUAAGAACAUUUAAAGGGCAUAGAGCAAGUUUGUUAAGAGCAUCGUUUCUUACCCGUGGAACCCAGCUUGUUUCUUGUGGUAACAAUGACAUCCCGAAACCAUUAUAGUGUUGAUUUCUCUGUUUCUCACUACCUACUUUUGCUAAAAGAUAUGGCCGUCUCUCCAGAUUCUGAUGGUUUCAUUAAGUUGUGGACAGUUAGGAACGAAGAGUGUAUCGCAACAUUUGACCAACAUGAUGAUAAGGUAAUCAAGUAUUUAUGUCAUCUCCUAUUCUCUUAUAAUAGAGCAUUUUCUUAAUUAAUAUGAUGUUUUUCUCCUCUAACUGGUAAUCCAGAUAUGGGCCCUGGCUAUUGGUAAGAAAACAGAAAUGCUUGCAACUGGCAGUGGUGAUGCAGUGAUCAAUCUAUGGCACGACUCAACUGCUUCAGAUAAAUAGGAAGCUAAUUUUCGUAAAGAUGUAAGUGUUAAGGUCUACGUACACUCUACCUUCCUCGCACCCCAUUACACUGGGUAUGUUGUUGAUACUUUGUUUCUCGUGCAGGAGGAAGGUGUUCUACGGGUUCAAGAGUUAAAAAAUGCUUUAAUAGAUGCUGACUACACAAGAGCCAUUCAGAUAGCAUUUGAGCUUCGAAGACCUCAUGGCCUUCUAGAUAUAUUUACUGAACUCCACAGGUAGUUCGUUCUGACUUGUCCAUUUUUUUCAAGUGAUGGUUCUAAAUUUAUGUAAAUGCAAUUGUACAUAUUACUUCUUUCGUCUUGAAAGGAAGAGAGAUGCCGGAGAUCAAAUAGUAAAAGCAGUUGACGCGCUUUCUAAAGAAGAGUUACGUUUGCAUUUGGAAUAUAUCAGGGAAUGGAACACAAAGACAGUUUUGUCAUACUCAAACUUUUUUCUUUCCUGCACUCCUAUUACUAAGAUGAUUGAGGUACUGUUGGCCUUUAAAAAUGCUUUAGUAGAUUCAUUGAAUUACAUAGUCGAGAAGAUUAGAGUGUACGUAAACCUUAUCCCUACCUCGGAGAUAGAGAGACUGUUUCCAAUCAAGAAAAAGUCGUUUCAUAUAAUUAGCUUGGCACAUCGAUUGGUCUUCAUUUAGUUGAUUGGCUACUUGUUCGUAAUGCUUGAAUACACACAUACGUUGGACUUAAGCAUCAAUCUUAAUGUCAUGUUAUUCUCUAGUCAUUUUGCUAAAGUCACGGAUUCAAGCCUUGGAAACAGUCUCUGGCAGAAAUGCAAGGUAAGACUGCUUACAAUAGACCCCUGUGGUCGGGUCCUUCCCCAGACCCUGUGCAUAGCAGGAGCUUUAGUGCACUGGGCUCCCUUGGAACGUAUAUAAAUAAUCUCCUCACCCUUUUUUCUUGACAUUUCUUCUUCUUUUUUAUAGAUAAAGGGUAAUGAAGGAGUGCUUGAAGGUCUUAUUGCUUAUACUCAGAGACAUUUCAAUAGAUUAGUUGGAUUAGAAAGAGAAAAUCAUAUGCUGGGAUAUACUUCAUAUAGAAUGUGAGGCAUUGAACCAGAAGGAAAAUUUGAGAACAAGGAUGUCAUACUUUGUACUGGUGCAGAUAAUGAGCAACAUCAUCAAGACAUUCAAGGGAAAAAAUGCUCAGAAAAGCGAAAAUCGGAUAUAUCAGGAGAUAUCACGGGUAAGAAAGUGAAGAUGUAGACUGAAUGUGGUCGUACAAGUAAUUUAGAAAUUGGAUAUAGGGACACUUGUAAUAUAGUACUCCUUCCAGUCUAACUUCACUUGUCACGGUAAGAAAUUAUGUGUUUUGGCUAUCAUAACUUUAUUUAUCAUCUUUAACUGUUUUUUUCCCCAAUUGAAAUUGUAAGGCAAAACAAUAUGCACCAUUUGUUAGACGACAAGGGUAUAUAGUGCACCAUUGUUUUAACAAGGGGUUAUCAACUCUAAAUCGCAAAGUUGAAAGGAAUAUUGGCCCCUUUUCCCUAAUAAUUUACAUAAAUUAUUUUUAUUAUUAUUAUUAUUAUUAUCAUUAUUACUAUAACAUUGUACAAAGAGACAAUGAUAAAGAAUUACAUUGAAAGGAAAAUGGGAGAACAAAACUAGCAGAAUAUUGACAGGAAGAACAGUUUUGAACCAAACUAUUAAUCAAUGACAUUUUUAUUUAAUUUGAAGAUAUUUUUAACUCUUUUCCGUGAAAGAAAUUGAAAGAAAGAGGAAAGGAGUCCAAGCGGGUCCAAGGAAUAGAAUGUACACCUACUCUUAUUACACCUAUUUUUAUGGGGUAGAGAGAUUGUUUAAGUAGAUGCUCAACUUAAAAUAAGUAUAGUCAAAAUAAGAUUGAAAAGAAAAUAACGAUAAUAAAACAAUAAGAUGAACAAAGAAAAUUAAGCGACGAACAAAGCAAAUAAAGCAACAGAUAGAGUUUAGUGACAAAACAAAUUAAUAAUAUCAUGAAACUCAUUAAACAAGUGAACCAAAUAAUUUCCUUUACUAAGAGCAAAAAGAAAAUUAAUGCAAGUAAAACAAAAGACAUGUCUAUUAUUUGCAAAGGAAAAAGAGUUAGGCCACAGGAAUUCUAAAUUUGGUUGGCAAAUUAGCAAAAAAAAAAAAGUUGAAAAUUGUACACGUAUACACAUUCACACAAAUUGGCAAAGCUAAGGUUUAUUGUAAAAUUAUAUUAUUUAUUUAAGAGUUGAAAUAACUUUUUACGUAUAUAGAGUAGAUAUUAAACAUAUUAGCACAUUGUGCUGGACUUGGAAUUACUUGGGCCAACCAUCGGAUAAGCUAAGAUGAAUUUUCUAGCCCAAUGUUUAUAGUGCAGGGAAGGGACAUUGGUUAGGAGGUGAUUUAUUCAUAUAUUAAACUAGUGAACUUAUUCGCGCUUCGUGCGAUUAAAAAAAUAAUAAUAUGCCAAUAAUUUUAUUAAAGUAAUAUAAUAUUGAUAGAAGAGAUAUUUAUAAUAUGUGCUUAUAUAUAUUAUAUAUAUUUAUUAUCCAGACGUACAAUUGAUUUCAUAAAGAAAGAUGUUUGGUUAGCAGUUAUAUGACUCCCAACAAAGUCAUAAGUUAUUACUUUGGACCAAAAAUAUUAUAAACUUACGAUAAUGAAAAUUCGUAUAAAAUGUAAAACAAAGAAAAUAUGGAGAGAACAUGCAAUAAAUAAAUAGAUGAAUAAACAUUGUACAUCAUUCUUAUGUUCUUAAUCAUUUAAAAGAAUGAAAUUAAUGCACAAUUUUUUCAACUCUUAUUUACAUUCAUCCCCACAAGCCGAUCAUCAUUCAAUAACCUUCAUUUUUUUAUUCAAGUCAAACUAAAACAUGAAUAUAACUCUAAUGUGAUCAUUUGUACAAAGUCUUACAAUGUCUUUAUUUGUAGGACUACAUUAUGAAAAAUCGAAACAAUAUCAUGACUAUUACGAAUUUUUUAAGAUAUUUUUAUUUUUCAUGGAGGAAAUGAAAGAUUAAAGUAGUAAAUAUUUAGGAUUUUAUAUUUUGCAAAAUAAUAAAUAGAAAUAAGUGAAAUAGUAAAUUUUGAGACUUUUAAGUUUUUGCAAUAAAGAAUAGCAAUGACUACAAGAAUAUUAAUUAACACAUUAAUUUUUUAAUAAUAAUCAUAGAUAAAUAGAAUUAUAUGGAAAAAAAAGAUAAAUAUGAUUCCUUGCCAAAGAGAAGUGUCGAUUUUAUCCACUCAUUAUUGUUGUUUUUCCUCUUAUUUUUUCAUUAUUAUAUAAAUAAAUAUUCUUAUUUUUAAAUUUGUUAUCCUUUAUUGUAGUAUUUAUUUUAUAUUUUAUUAAUUAAUUUUCUUCUUUUUCUCUUUUCCUUCCUCGAUCCUACUUAAAAAUAUUUUUUUUAUAGUAAAAAAAAUGCAUCUUCCAUAGGAUCUUAAUCACAAGAAAAUAGAUGAAAAGAGAAUAUAAAAUCUGUGUACAAUAUAUACUUAUUAUUAUUAAUUCUUUUACUUUUAAAAAAAAUAGAAGAACAAAACAAAUCUUUAAAUAAAACAUAAAUGGUCUUCGUACCGUAAAAAAAUCAUUAAAAAGGCCAUAUAAUAUUUAAUAUAUCUUUAGUUUUUUUAAUAUAUUAAUAGUAGAGUUUGAACCUUGAUAGUAAUUAAAGAGUAUCUCAUAAUCGUUCUGAAGAUAUUAGUGUAAAGAUAAAUGUCAUGUAACAAUAUUUCUCUUCAAAAUGAAAGACUUUUUCAAAAAAAGUUUGUCCCUCCACAAGGACAUAUAUAUUGAGAUUUAAGAGAGAAAAUUCAUUUGGGUUGAGAAAUUUUCAGGAAGAGUGAUUAGUAUUUUAAAAGGUACGAGAAGAUAUUUAGAGAAAGAAUCAAUCUAUUUAUGAAAUUUAUAUCAAAUUAGAAGGAGAAUAAGCAGAAACUAAUAUUAUUCCCUGCAACUUUAUUAUUCUACUAAUUUCUUUCUUCUUUUAUUUUGUUUUGAUUUUUUUAUGUGUCUUUAUAGUUUAACGAUGUUUUUUUUAUUGAGACUAAGUGUGGUGCAUAUUAAUGCUAUCAUUCGUUUGAAAUGGAAUUCAUUUAUUCUUUAUUCUUUUAUUUAGUCUUUAAUUUUUUGAUGUGUUUUAAAUUAAAUUUUAUCUUAUUUUUUCUUAUUUAUCUUUAAUUAAAGUUCUUUCUCUUUUUCUGUAACGACCUGUUCCCGUCGUUAUAGAAAAGCCAACAAGGAAAUUUUUUGGGCCGGAACACUUUUUCAUAGUAUUUUGAAAAUUUCAACCUAGUCCAGAUUUGGACGAAAUUGAAGUCAAUGAGGUCUAGGAAAAUCUGGUAACAAUUGGGAGAUCUAAUUAUGAAUUUGAUCGUAUGAGUAGAUAGCUAAGACAUUAAGGAACCUGUACGAUUUUACGAAAUUCAUGUGAUCAAAUUCAUAAUUAGAUUACCCAAUUGCUACUGGAUUUCCCUAGACCUCACAGACCCCGCUUUCUUCCAAAUCUGGACUAGGUUGGAAAAAAUCCAAAUACUAAGUAAAAGUUUUCUGACCCAAUUUUGUUUCCCGUUGGCUUUUCUAUAACGGCGGAAUGAGGUCGUUACAAUUAAACCGCAACAACUUAAUUUGUUUUUUUAGAUAGUUAAAUAUAUUUUUAUUUAGUGUAGGAGCAAAAUAGUAAUCCAACUUUGCACUUUAAAGCUUCUCGUGCGUUGCACGUUUAUUCCAUAGUAACUUGAUGAUAAUUUCAUGACAUAUAUAAUACCGUAUCCCAUAAAAAUUAUCAAUUAAUUAGAAAAUAAAAAUUAAACUACUACACCCUUCAAUCCGGCAUCACUAUAAAUCAUAUGAAUUUUCCUUCAACUAAAAUGCAUAGAUACUAUAAAAGAAGAAGUCAGUAAGCAUAACGAAAGGCUAAAGGUUAUAUAGAAAUAACUAUUUGGAAGAAAACUUCCUGAUAAUCUCAAUCACAUAAAUAGCAUUGUAAAGAAAAUAUUUCUUAUGUAAUGAGUAUCAACAAAAUGACAUGUGACUAUUUUUUGACUCAUGAGAAGUUCAUUAAUUUAAAAAAAUAUACAUUUAGAAGCAUAUAUUUGCAUCGCAAGAGAAAUUGUUAACAAAACCAAAUAAAUUUAGACUACUUCCAUGUUAGCUUCAUAUAUUGGAACAUUACAUACUACUAUAUAUGUUAGCAAAAAAUAAAGUAAUUUUUGUAUCACCAAAAUAUAUUUCCCUCAAGUACUCAAGGUUGUGGAAUAUACCUUCUUAGGAUAUAAUAAUUUACUUCAUUCGAAUAGUGGUACUCAAAUACUCUGAUCUACUAGACGACAGUAAAUCACACGAAAAAUUUUACAAUGCGAGAAGAAGAAGAUUAGAUAAUUUUUGUGGUUGAAAAUGAGAAAAAAAAAUCCCUCUAUUUAUAGCCAACAAAGGGUUGUAUGAACAUGUACUUAUUGUUUCUUAUCUGAAAAGUCAUGACCCUUUGUAAAAGUGACAAUCCUUUGGAAAAGUAACAACUUAUCGAAUAAGCCACAACUCUUUAAAAAAGUCACAACUCAUUUGAAAGUCAUAACCAUUUGAAAAAGUCACAACUUAUCUGAUAGUCACAACCUUUCAAAAGUUACUCAAAUAGCUAUAGAUGGGUGUUUUAAGUUAUGGACAUUAUAGUAAUUUAACAUUAAAGUUAGGGAGUUCAUACUUUUAAGGUAGUAUAAAUAUAAAUUAAAAAAUAAAUAAAUAUAAAUUAGGGGCAUUAUAGUAGUUUAACAUUUAAGUUAGAGAGUUCAUGCUUUUAAGGUAGUCAUGACAUAUAUAAUACUGUAUCCCAUAAAAAUUAGCAAUUAAUUAGAAAAUAAAAAUUAAACUAAUACACCCUUCAAUCCAGCAUCAUUAUAAAUCAUAUGAACUUUCCUUCAACUAAAAUGCAUAGAUACUAUAAAAGAAGAAGUCAGUAAGCAUAACGAAAGGGAAAUGGUUAUAUAGAAGUAACUAUUUGGGUUUCGUCCGGUCAUUAAUAACUUAAUUAUUUUUAUAUAAUAGUAGAUAGAAACAACGCUUGUAAGGAGUCCUAUUAAAUCAAGAAAUAUAGGCCUGCCUACCAUCCACACCAGAAUAAAUAGAGUUUUCCGAAAAAACCUGCUAAUGGAGGAAGACCUCCUAGGGAUAAGAGUCAUAAAACUUUCUGAUAAUCUCAAUCACAUAAAUAGCAUUGUAAAUAAAAUCUUUCUUAUGUAAUGAGCAUCAACAAAAUGACACGUGACAAUUUUCUGACUCAUGAGAAGUUCAUAAAUUUUAAAAAAUAUACAUUUAGAAACAUAUAUUGGCAUCGCAAGAGAAAUUGUUAACAAAAACAAAUGAAUUUAGACUACUUCCAUGUUAGCUUCAUAUAUUGGACCAUUACAUACUACUAUAUAUAUUAACAAAAAAAAAGUAAUUUUUGUAUCACCAAAAUAUAUUUCCCUCAAGUAGUCAAGGUUGUGGAAUAUACCUUCUUAGGAUAUAAUGAAUUACUCCAUUCGAAUAGUGGUACUCAAAUACUGCUGAUCUAAUAACUCACUAGACGACAAUAAAUCACACGAAAAUUUUUACAAUGCAAGAAGAAGAAGAUUAGAAAAUUUUUGUGGUUGAAAAUGAGGAAAAAAUUCCUCUAUUUAUAGCCCACAAAGGGUUGUAUGAACAUGUACUUAUUGUGCUUUAUUCAGUCAUGACAAUCCUUUGGAAAAGUAAUAAUUUAUCGAAUAAGUCACAACUCUUUUAAAAAGUCACAACCCUUUGAAAAAGUUACAACCUUUUGGAAAAGUCACAACCAUUUGGAAAACUCAUAACUUAUCUGAAAGUCACAACCUUUCAAAAGAAUAUAUGUUAUUCAAAUAGAUAUAGAUGGGUGUUUUAAGUUAGGAGCAUUAUAGUGAUUUAAUAUUUAAGUUAGGGAUUUCAUACUAUUAAGGUAGUAUAUAAGUAGAUAUAUAUAUAAUAAAUAAAUAUAAAUUAAGGGCAUUAUAGUAAUUUAACAUUUAAGUUAGAGAGUUCAUGCCUUUAAGGUAGUAUAGAAGAUAUGGAUAGAUAGAUAUUUUAGAACUUUAAACUAAACUACUUUAAAUAUUUGUAGCAAUAAAUAAUAUUUUCACAAUAACAUCUAAGAUAAUAUAUUGAAAACACAUGACUAAUAUCAAUCAUAGAGAGAAUGUUUAUAAUAGACUCUCGGCUCAAGAAAUUGUAUAUUUUCUUAAAAUGACACUCUUUGUCACAAAGGAGUGUGCAAGCCAACUUUAGUGAGAUUAUUUUGAAUACCUUUCAAAAAAAAGAAAAGUCAUAAAAUAUUUUCUUUCAAAAAUGUCAAAUUUUGUUGCAUUUAUUUUAUAAAGAAAAUGUUGUGCUUGAAUAUUUAUGUCUUAGGGCUUGUAAUUGUACCUUGUAUGCUUUGAUUGAAUGAAGUUUCUAUCUUAUGUUGUUUACAAGCUAUGUCCAAUCUUGAUUUAUCAUAGUAGGUAUCGUUGUUCUUGCAGGUGGAGCUUGUUCGUAAUAUAGCAACAAUAAUAAUAUGAAUUCAUCAUCACCAGAUGAUUUCAACUGUCUCUGCCAAACCCCUAGUCAUCCAUCUAGGAGAUAUUGUUCCUCCGAAAGCUAAGGUAAGUUUGAUCAGUACAUUUGCUAUGACAUUUUUGAGAGAUUUUAGCAAAGUUUAAACCGUUCAACCAUGUCCAUAUCACCGCAUUCUACCAUCAUUUUUAGAAACUAAGCUUGUAAAUGGAGAACAACUUUCCUCGAAAGGGGAUUCUAUUUUUGACAUGAAUUCCCGUCUGACUAGCACAAGAAGUCAAAGAUAUCAUCGGUGCCAACCUUGCUACAAUGGAUCAUUUCUUUGUAGGUCUUUUGUGAUUUUGAUUUUAUUAACCGCUUUUCCAAGUUCAUGAGUAUGUGAUUAGACUAUCUUUGUUUUUGGCAACAUUUGAUGUCUUCUAAGUUGGAUGUUGUAUUUCGAGAUAGAAACACUAAAUUAUUAGAGAUACGCUAAAUGUAUUGAAACAAUGGAGAAGACGUUGACAAAAUCAUUUAGUCUUUUCAUCUCGAAAUACAGCAUCCGACUUUGAAGCUUUUAUUGUUGAGGAAAACAGAAUUAGUCUAAUCACACAUACUUAUGAAUAUGGAGAAGACGUUGACAAAAUCAAAAUAUCAAAAGACGAGCUACCUUGAUAUGAUACAAUUUAGCAAGGUUGACACCGGUGAUAUCUUUGAGUUCCUGUGGUAGUCAGACAUGAAUUCAUGUCAAAAAAUAGAAUCCCCUAUUUGUUCUCCAAUAUUAGUUUAUAAAAUGAUAUUAGAAUGGAAGUCAUGGACAUGGUUGAAUAGUUUAAACUUCGCUAAAAUAUCUCAAAGAAGUCGUAGCAAAUGUACUCAUCAAAACUUACUUUACUAAUUGUUGAAGGAAGAAUAUCUUCUAGACGGAUUACUAGGGGUUUAUUGUUGAUACACGACAAACAAGCUCCACCUGCAUUUAUUGACAUAGAUUUAGAAAUUGCCUUCUUUGGUUUAAUAUUACUAGUGCAUGUAAUGCCUUUACGAAUCAUAUUCAGGCAUGGACUCAAAAAGAGAAGUAUUUUCCUUGAUGUUUUCUGAGAUUAGACAAAUGUAGAUCAGAUAUGAUCUUAGUACUCUUUCCGGUUUCAUUUAUCGACAUAGAUUUAGAAAUUGCCUUCUUUGGUGUAAUACUAGUGCAUGUAUCUAAGUAAUGGUUGAAAUUUAGUUUCAUUAAAUCAUUCAUGUCAUCACACUCUUUUCUGAGGUUCUAAGAUGUUUCAUAUAUAUACUGCAGGUACGAGUGUACGACCUUGAAUCAAAUUGUGCUCUAAAGUAUUGUCUGGGUACACUAAUACUAAUUUGUGUCUUUGUACCUGUGUAUCAAAUUCUGGAAGAACACUUAUAGUAACGGGAAGCAAGGAAACAAUGUAAGUUUGUGAUAUUUCUUUCUGCUCUUUUGACAAAUAUGCAGCAUUUGAUGUAUGUCUAUUCGAUUUCUCUUAUUUGCUGGUUUUCCUAGAUUUUACUUUACAAUUUCUGCUAUUCUUAAUUCUGGUGUUUCCAUAGGUUAGGUUAUGGGAUUGCAAGAACAAGGCUCGUGUUGGCGUAGGCACAGGGUCACACGGGAGCUGUUGGUGUUGUUGCUCUUUCAAAGAAAAAACGGAACUUCUUUGUUUGUGGUAGUAGUUAAGUGAUUAUCGCUAAACUCUGCAGUGAUCACAUCCCUGAACUCUGCAUAUGCAUGUAUAAACAGUUUAGUGCUGAAUCGAGUUUGCCCCUGGUUCUGAUGACUUGAGUAAAUAUUUCUUCAUCAAGAUGCAUAAUUUCAAAAAUAAAGUAUAGACGUUUUCUUAAGCAUAACAGUUUUAGAAAAGAGUUUCAGUCAGUUAAAGAGAAAAUUCAAUAUAAUUUAAAAGAAGGAUUUGAGUAUCAACUCAACAAAGAUAUCAUAUGAGCAUUAUUGCUAGUUUUGGGAGUAGUAUUGAGCACCGAUUGGCUGUGAGUUUUGAUAACUCAAACUCCAUAACUUGCGUCGUCAACGUAGAUAAGAUCAUGCCAUUGUUUCGGGUGAAUCCUCAUCCAGUCUUGUUGAGGGCUUUUUAGAUGGAUUCAUAAGUUCAAUUCCAUCGUUACAUAAUGCCACACAUCAGGAGAAACCUACAAGAAAAGGUAGGGUAAAAGAUAAAAUAAGAUUAUUAGAUAAUAAGCAAAGACAAAUGAAUGUGUGACAUCAUGACCUAAUUGGUAUAUAAGAAUCAGGGUAGUAUAUUUUGUUGUUAUUGCGUUUGCGGGUGUGAUAGCUAGCAGAAGAAUGGAUGGCUGGCUGGCAACUGAUUCUAAAUGCUUAAGGUCGAAUCUUGACCUGAAGGAACUGUAGAAGAUCCUGUAUUGAAGUUCAAGCCGAAAUAUUUUGAAAUCUAAACCUAUUCAAGACUAUCUAAGUUCUAGUUUCGAGUGAAAAAGUUAGACAUAAACUUCAGGGAACAACAGACUUGAAAAAGGAAAAGAAACAAUGAAAACCUCGAAUGCUGACAAGUGGCUUUUACAUGGGAAUGAAGGACCUGUGAUGGGGAUGGCUUGUGAUGCAUCAGGUGGAUUUGACGGUGUGGGGUAGGUUGAGGAAAUAAUUGCUAUUUAGGUCAUAAAUAUUAAAGAAUAUCUUGUUACAAGUAACUAAUUGAAUGUUUCUGUUAAAAGUUGUCACGACCUGAGUCUACACCCGAGACGUGGCCGACAAGUCAACUUUUAUUCUAACAAUUUAGUGGAAAAAAUCUAAACAUGCUUUCACAAAAUUGCUAGAUCACAUGGAAACAAUUUAACGUGUUGCUCCAAGGCUCCCCUUUGCCUGUCUAAUUUUAGUAAGUAAUUUCCUUUAUAUGUUCUAAAUCUUCUUGAGAUCCACUCUCUUUAAGGUUUUCGCGAUGCUAGUUGGAAAAAUGAGUCGUUCAACGGAUGCAAUUGUUACAACAACUUGUUCUUCAGCCCUAGCCUCUAGGCUUGUUGCUCAAAACAUCAAACACAAGCUCUUAUAUAUAUAUAUAUAAUGCCACUCCUACAACUAUUUAGAUUUUUAUUGAACCUUCUAAUUUAAUACAAUAUAAUGUCUAGUCCUUGCACAGUGUAUUAAUGAUAGAAAAUUUGAUGGAGAAAAUAGUGAAAUGCCCCCUCGACCUAUUAUUAGAUUUUCAACUACACACUUAUACUUUAUGGUAGUUCUAUUAUCCCGUUAGAUUAUUUUAAAACAAAAUAAUACACCCUUAAAUGCUGGCAUGGCAUAGAGAAUAUUCUCACUCUCUUGGAGGCAUGUGGAAGUUAUGAGAAUUGAUAAAAAAAAAAAAUUAUAAUAUUUUAAUUUGACUUUAUCUUAAAUAUAUAUUUUUUACUUUUCUCUUUACGUUUUUUGUUGGGAAAAUGCAUAAGUACCCUCCAGCCUAUACCCAAAAUCCCUGACACACCUAACCUUUACUAAAGUCCUAUUACCCCCCUAAACUUAUUUUAUAUAUAAUUUUCUACCCCUUUUCGGCCUACGUGGCACUAUCCUUGAAAAAAUUGUCAACACGCGCUGGGCCCACAAGAUAGUGCCACAUAGACCGAAAAGGGGUAGAAAAUUAUAUAUAAAAUAAGUUCGGGGGGAUAAUAGGACCUUAGUAAAGGUUAGGGUGUGUCUCUGGGAUUUUGGACAUAGGCUGGGGGGGUACUUAUGCAUUUUCCCUUUUUUGUUUCUUUUUUCCCUCUCUUUCUCCUUACUCAACCCUCACACCACCACCAUUUCCUCCACCUUAGCUUGAACCACCAUCACCACAACAACUCCAUCUCUUUAUCCAUCUUUUAAUAUUUGAUUUACUAUUUUCUAUAACUAACGUUGCAUAUCAUCAUUAAAAUUAUUACUCAUGUUGUCGGAAAAGUCAAUUUGUCCUUAAUCUGACUGUUGCAAAAUAGAAAUUCACAAAGUAAAGACAAAAAAAAAAGAAUAGAAUCAUUGAACACCUUCCAUCAUAAAAAUUCAUUCUAUUAUUGAUGUUUUUUAAAAAAAAAAUUAGAGAAAUCCAAUCAAUUAAAACAAUUACGAUUGUAAAAUAAAUUUUUUUCAAUUAUGAAUUUCAUAAAGUAAACUAAACAUGAGCUAUGAGGUCUUCAUCUAGCUUUUCUUUUUCUUUUUCUUUUUUUUCAUUUUCAUCCAUCUAAAAAUAAUUCAAAAUAUCAACACCAUUAAUCUACUUUCUCACCGACAGAGAAAUUUCAAUGCAAAUUUUUUCUCUAUUCAUUUAAUUAUCUUAUAAAAAUUUUGGGUCAGUAAUAUACAUCAAACUUCCAAUCUUAUAAUCUUCAAUCUCUAUUGUUGUUUGGUGAAGACCCAAGAGUUUAACCAUCGACAACAUGUAAAUAAAGCAUCCAAACAUCUCCCAUGUACUUCGAUUACGUGGAGUCAUGGAGUGUGCCACGUAAGCUAAAAGAUGUAUAAAAUUACAAAAAAAAUGUGUUCGAGGGGGUAAUAGGGUUAAGGUGUGUCCCUAAGACUUCAGUUAUAGUCUAAGGAGGUACUUGUACCUUAUUCCUAAAGAAAAAAUGCCAACAACCGCUUAUUUAUUGCUCACUAGGUCAUUAUGGAAAAAAUUUAUGGUGGCUGAGGCACAACCAACCAUAGUUGUGUGAGGGAACCAUUUUCUUUUGACAAAUGUACUUGUGGGUCCUUUCCCUUGUUGUCACACUUUCUCUCUCACACUUUGAUUAUCUCAAAUUUUAGUCCGUUCUUCAUUCACAUUUCUUUUUUUUCCCUUUGCAAAACCUCUUUUCUAUUUUAUCUCUACACCCUUUUGUCACCAACGUUUCUAUAGUUCUUUUUCUUUGUAGUCCAACCUCUCAAUGAAAAUGCAUUGAUACUAUAUCUUGUGUUGCCACAAAUUCACUUGGUUGAUUCUUUUUUCCCAUUAAUUUUUGUAACCCCCCGAAAAAAAUAGAAUCUAGACUCCAAGCAUUAAGAAUUUUUUUUAAAAAGAAUCUUAAAUGAGAAACACAAAAUUAAUAUUAGCAAUAAUUAUUGGAUAGAUGCAAAGCAAGUAGAAAAUUUAAAAAAUAUGGAAAAUAAGAAAGAUAAUUGAGUGCUUAUAAAUAUCAUUAAGAUAUUAUUAUAAAUAUUAACCAUUCAGAUAGUAUUUAUUAAGAAUUGAGUGAUUAAGAUUGAAACACCAAAAAAUAAAUUAAUGACAAAUUUAAACAAUAAAAAUUGAAUUGUGUAUUUAAGUGUAAUAAAUAAGGCCGAUUGAAUUGUAGUAGCUUCAUUGAUUGACUACAUUAAUGAUAGCACAACAAUAUACAUAUACUCUUAUAGUAAUAUUGACGAACAAGAAACCUUAAUGAUACUAAUACAAUAUUAUAUAUUUUGAUUUAGUAUUGAGUGUUGAAACUAUUUAUUACUUAACCUUAAUAUAAGGGGUAGUUCAAGUGUGAGGGUCCUGAAUUCUGGGGCCUCACAAUAAAAUAAUUGUGAAUUUGAUAAUUUUAUGUUCUCUUCAACUAUUAAAUAUGGUUAAAAAAAAUACAAAAUCUAUGUAUAAAUAAAUAAAAAUAAUUAUCUACUUUUUAGCAUAAAUGUUUUAGAACUUUAAACUAAACUAAAAACUUUCAAACAAUAAGUAAUAUUUUUACAAUAACAUUUAAGAUAAUAUAUUGGAAACACAUGAUUAAUAUCGACCAUAGAGAGAAUGUUUAUAAUAGACUCUUAGCUCAAAAAACUGUAUAUUUUUAAUGAGAUUAUUGUGAAUACAUUUCAAAAGAAGAAAAUUCAUUAAAAAAAGUUGGGAAAAUGCAUAAGUACCCCCCAAACCUAUGCCCGAAAUUUCAGAGACACACUUAUACUAUACUAAGGUCCUAUUACUCUCCCGAACUUAUUUAUAUAAAUAAUUUUCUACCCCUUUUCGGCCUACGUAGCACUAUCAACCAGAUAGUUUGAAAAAAUUGUCAACACGCGCUGGACCCACAAAAGGCAUCUAGGAAUAGUAAAGGGGUCCCUUAUAUGGGACCUACAAACAGUUCAUCCACUGUUGGUAGUGCUUGUCUACUGUUGGUAGUGCUUAUCUGCUAUAUCUUGUCCUUUAGCUUUGCCAAAAAAUCUUCGGCUUUCUUCAGUGUAUCUUCUGACCUUUCUUUUUCGAACUGUUGCGCCUCAUGCAUAUCUUCACUUGUUUCACUGCGCAUCGACGAAUCCGAUUUUGCGUAAUGAUUUAUUUUGAGAAGAAGAUUUUUCUUUACUUCUUCUAAGUACUUAUUAAUCAUAUCAUUUUGUUCCUCUUCAUCUUGGUUAGAGAUUCUUCUAGCCAUAUGUAUUGCUAAGGAUGAAGCAUCAGUCAUAAUUCCUUUAUCAGGAAUUAACUUAUAAUCUUGGAUUGUUUUGGUGAUUAAAUCCAACAGUUCUUGUCCGUAUAUGGAUUUUGUUUGCAGAUCUCUCUUCAUCAACUUAUUCCAGAAAUUAGGAAAAAUGCAUAAGUACCCCCCCAGCCUAUGCCCAAAAUCCCUGAGACACACCUAACAUACUCGUACAUUCAAUGUACUGAUUUCAUUUGACCUACAUCUUUUCAUGAUGAUGCAGACUCAAGUACUUGGGAUCAUCAACAUGAGUUUCAUUGAGAUCACAUCAUCCACUCAUCAACUUUUGGUGAGACCUCCUUGCUUUUGGAGGACUCCAGUUUUAUGCUUUGUUAGUAGUAGCGUUUUGAGGUAUCAUGGAUCUUGUCCCGACACCUAUAUUUAUACAAUAGAGGCUUCAUAGAUAGAAAGUCUUGGUCAGACUUGCAGUAAUCAGUUUCAGAUGUUUUAUUUAAAACUUUAUAUUUAAUACCUAGUAUUUUCAGAUAACUUUGAGAUUUAAUCAACUAUUGUAAAACAAUUCUUCAGUUUUGAUGCCCGUGUAUGCUUGAGUUAGUCUUCCGCUUAGUAGUCAGCCAAGACAAGGGUUCGCUUGGGGACCAACAAUGGUUCUCGAGUACUGGCCACGUUCAGGGUGUAAGCUCGGGGUGUGACACAAUUUAUAAAAAAUAAAAACAAUAAACUAUCUGCUUUUUCACAUUUUUUUAAAAAGAAUUUUAAACUUAAAUUACUCAAAAAUUUUGUAGCAAUAAAUAAUAUUUUUACAAUAAUAUCCAAGACAAUUUAUUAACAACACAUGGUUAAGAGGUAACCAUGAAAAAUAUAUUUUUCUAUUUUAUAAGCUUAGAGCUAACUCAUAAAGCUUUUAAAGCCUUAAAAAAUUGAUAGAAAAAGCCACAUUUAGUUCUCAAAUCAUAAGUACCAAACAAUUCUUUUAGGUGAGGAAUAACAAAUUCAAAUAAUUUACCUAUUAGCUCGCGUGUAUUCUCUAAAAUUACUUAAAAAGAGCUUAACAAAUACGUGUUACACAAUAUCUUUUUUUUUUCCCUUAGGGUAUAAAAAUAUAACAUCAUGAGUAUGCUGAAAUUGAAGUAGUUGUAGAAUAGUUUAGAUAGAAUAAAGAGAGUGAGAUUACACACUUUACCCCUUUUCAUACCAACAACUGCAUACUUGUUACCUGAAACACACAUUACUAUUUGUUUCGGCUAACAAAUAUGUAGUUGUUGGUAUAAAGGGUGAGACCUUGAAACUUAUUGACGUUAGUAGUAAUUCUUGUGUAAUUAAGCAUAAUACAGCCUCCCAGGUGAAUAUGAAAAUGCCUUUUUGAAUCUACCCUUUGAUAUCUAAUCCUCCAUGAAUUAUUAAUUAGCACAUCCCGAUAUUAAUUUUACUAAUAUUAGUAAUAUAAUGGACUCAUAGAUAAUGGAAGGAAAAAAAUAAUUUUCUUUUAAGAUUUACUGCAACUUUCACUAUUAAAAAAUAUGAAUUAGUGAUUGACAAUUUAUAUCUAAAUUGAUAAUAAAAUCCAUUACUAAUUUUAUUUAGCAAUGAAUUAGCAUGAUGAAUUAUAUAUAUAUAAAAGAAUGUAAACUACGAGUAAUUUAGCAAUGAUACAUAUUUAAUUCCAGUUUUUUGUGAAUUGGAUAUAUGAAUAACACUUGGAAGGUUUACAUACUCAUAAAAGUUUGGCCACUCAAUUUAUUGAAGUUAAUUUGGUGUCAUUUGUUUUCGCAAUGAAGGUCCACUACGCUAAUGAUUGUUGCUAAUACUAACAUUUUCCAAUUUUCUCAUGUUUUGUUGGGUUAAAUAUUUUGGAAAAUAUUUUCCAAAUCAACUUAUUUUCCUUAAAUAUAAGGAAAAUGACUUUCACUUCAAAAAUAAGGAAAUCAUUUUCCAAAACUCUCCUCCAACUUCAAAUUACAAUUUUUUUCUUACCCUACCUUGACCCUCUAUAUUAAAAAAAUUAAAAUUUUAAGUUUUUUAAAAAUCAGUUUAUUUUGUCCCAACCCGCUUGUAGACAUUGAAAUUUUGUAGGACUCUACAGGACGUGCUGAAUUUGAGUUGGGACUCUACAAGGUGUGUUCAAUUAAAAUUAAAAUUCUUGGAGGCUACUCAACCCUAAACCCUAGUUCAUGCCUAUAUAAAGGGUACUAUAUUCCCUUGAAUAGACAUCUCGAAUAUCUCAAAUAUUCCACAAACUCAUGGAAUAUUCAUAAAGAGAUCAAAUCCAAAUCAUCUUAAUUCGAGAAACCUUGUAUUUUUAUAUACAUCAGUUCAUUUGUAUUUCUAUAUACAUCUCAGGCAUAUUUGGGUUGUACGUACAUUUUCAUUAUGAUUCCCUGGAAAAACCUUGUCUACUCCUGUCACAUGGGUUUUUUUGUAAGCAUAUAUAAGGGGGGUAGAGGUCUUGGAGGCAGACUGAGGCGACGGCAGGCGGACGUCAUGGGCGUCCUGUGGGCUUAGUGGGCGUGCUGCGUGGGCUUAGUGGGCGUGCUGCCUGGGCGUUUGAUGGCAUGCAUGGCUUGUCCGUGCUACGUCGUCGGGCGCCUAUAAUCCUUGAGUUGAAGAAAUUUGAAGAAAAACUUGAUUGGAAGACUUGAAAUCCUGUCUUGAAAGGAAGACGAUCAAGAAAACCUUUCUUUAGAUUCUUGAGUUAGUUUCUUGAAAACUCUAUGUCUAAGAAUUAAGAUUUUUAUUAAUGAUUUGUAUGAAGGAAUUUGAGUUGAAAAGAAUGAAAUUCUUGGAGAAAGACUUACCUUAAAGAAGAAUCUUGAAAAAGAUUUGAAAGACUCUUGCAUGGAAGUCUUAUGCUUUGAUUUUCCUUAGAGUUUUCUUUUUGAGUUGGAGAAUUGAGAGCGUAGAACUAAAAGAAAACUGAGUACUUGGUGGAAUAUAUUCCCCCUAAUUAAGGUUAAAACACAUGGCUUUUGGAUUAGAAAAAAAUGGAAAAAGACAAAAGAAACCCCACUUAAAAAGCUGUUGAAAACCUUACACGGGGCCAUCUACGAUUCAUGGUUUGAUCUACGGACAAUAGAUUUCAUCCGUGAAAUUCAUAUUGAAGUUUUAAGGCUGAAAAGUUCAUUCUACAUGUUCAAACUACGGCCAGUAAAGGUUUCUACGAAUUGUAGAUGGGUCCAUAGAAAUUGGACCCCAAAAUUUGACUCCCACUAAUUUUUCCACAUGUUGACAGUACGGGUCGUAGUUCAUUCUACAACUUGUAGAAGUGUUUCGUACUACACUGACUCAGAAAACUCUAUUGAAGUAGUCUCUGAUAAAAUGAUCAUAAGUUUUUACUCCAAACUCGAAAUAAGAAAAAUUUGGUGGCAUUGGAAAGAGGACUCGUACACCUUUUAUUUGAUAGGUCAUUGGCCACAUAAUUCAUAAUGUGGUGAGAGAUAUGGUCAUUUGAAGUUGACCUAAGUAGAAUCUUAUAUCAAAUCUUAAUCGGUAAGGAAGCUUUCAACUCAACUUUGUGUUAGGGGAUUCUAGUGACCUUAAUUCAUAUAAAAAUUCAUUUUCACACUAAAUAAUUAACCUAAACACCUAAGAACAAUUUGUGUUACAUAUUUGGUUAUUUUUACCAUAUUCAAUAUUGUUGAAAAGAACAUAAAAUCAUAAAAUGCAUAAUUAAAAACUUUUAAGGCCUCAUAAUUUUGAAACCCUCACCUUUGAGCCACCCCUUGUAUUAAAAUCAAUCUUCAGAAAGUAGAGAAUGGACAUUUUUAAUACUCAGUAGAAAUCAAAUUUUUUUUCUUCUAUUUAUGUAUAAGUUAGAUAAAUAACUAGGGGUGUACAAAACCGAACCAAACCGCAAAUCGAGUCAAACCAAAAAAAACCCGACUAGUGGUUUGGUUUGACUUGGUUUGGUAUUAGGAAAAAAAACCCGACUAUAUUUGGGUUGGUUUGGUUUAACUAAAAAAAACCAACCCGAAAUUAUAUAUGUAAUUUUAAAAUUUUAUUUUAUACGUAAAAAUAUUUACUUUGAUAUAAUUUUAAAAUAUUUCUUAUACUAUUUCAUAGUUUUUAUCUUUUAAUAUAUUAUUUCAAAUUUAAACUUAGAAUUUGGAAUGGUCCAAUAAAGAUUAUAGUUCAUAGAUGUUGAUAAUUAUAAUAAAACUUAAAUCAAAAUCAAAUUAAUACUAAUGCAAAAAGAAAAUCAAUUCAACACUAAGAAUGACAAUACUAUUGAAUAUUUGUUCUUUAGUUUUACAUUGAUUUAGACAAUUAAAAUGCAUCAUCUAAUUUUAAUUUUCCUUAAAUAUUAAGUAAUGUAAGAAUACUUAUUAAACUUAUUUUAGCAUGAGUUAGUACUUUUAAAUUAUGAUCAUUUUCAUUAUGACUUUGCAAUAUUUAUUUUAUAUGAUGAUUUCAUAUUAAUUUUUAUUGAAUAUUUUAGUGUCAUCAGUACUCAUCUCAUAUUUUGUGUUAUUUUCUUAAGAAAUACCUUAGAUAAUUGUAUUUUGGUUGGACUAAAGAAAUAUUUGGAACACAAGUUAAUUAUAUGUUUGUAUGCAAACUUUACCGAAAAAUCCAAAAAAUCUGAAAAUAUCCGAGGUUUAUUAGUUUGGUUUGAUUUAUAAAUUUAAAAAUUCGACACAAUGGUUUGGUUUGGUAUUUGAAAAACCCAAACCAACCCGAGGUUGAAAAACCCGAAAAAAUCCGAAUUUUAUUAGUUUGGUUUGGUUUAUAAAUUAAAAAAUUUUACACAAAUGGUUUGGUUUGAUAUUUGAAAAACUUGAACCAACCCGAUCAUGUACACCCCUAUAAAUAACAAUCAACAAAUUCUUGCACGUCAAUAUCAAUUAGGUAGUAUUACAUCUUUGAACUUAUUAUUGUACUAAAGUAUUCUUUGCUUGACGAAGAACCUGUCUUCUACUAUUGCAAUUUCUUAUUUCAUCAUGACCAACUGAUUUCAAACGUUUUUGCCGAAGUCCUAGUGACUCCUCUAGAAAGCAUUCAUUCAUAAAGUAUUAAGGUAAGCUUGAUGAGCACAUUUGCUAGGACUGUUUUUUAGAAGAUUUUAGAAAAUUAAGUUGAUUAAUUUUCCAAACAUGAGUGACUAUCUAGGGGAUAUAAAAUUGAUGCAAUGUUUCAGACAUUUUAUUGAUUUAGGCCUCAUUUGUUUUUACUAAGAUUAAGGCGUCUUAAUCUUAAUGCACAUAUGUAUAUUAAGACGUGCAUUAAAAUUAUGAUGUCAGAAUCUGAAUGCAUAUCUAAAUAUUAAGAUGUAUUUUCUAGGUCUAAACAUUAAGCCAUUAAGAUUGUUUGUUUUCAAUGUUUGAAUGUGUAUAAUUUAUUUAUUUUUAAAAAAAAUAGGAAUUAAAUACUAUAUCAAUAAAAGUUAUAAUCUGAACUCAAGAUAACUUCUUCCAAAAAUUGUUUCAAGAAUAAGAUUAUAACUCACCCCAGAAAAAAAUAAUUAUUUUUUUUACAAACAAUUUUUUCUCAAGAAACAAUGAUAACUUCUCCAAAUAAGUUUUGACAACAAACGAAUUGUGACAAGAAAAGUUCUUCAUAAAUAUCAAUUCACCAAAGAAUGUUGUAUAUAUUGAAAAUAUAAGAUAAAUAAAGAUUAUGAAAACUUACUUAUUCAAAAGAAAAAAAAUGGUAUUUGGUUGGAAAGAGAGGAAAAAACUUAGAACUUACCCAAAAGAGAAGCAAAGAAGAAGAUAUUUUUUUUUAUGAAAGAAUGCUUAUUAUUUUGAUAGAGUCUGAAUGGUAUUAAGUACCACGAUCCGAGCCUACACUCUGGACGUGGCCGGCACUCGAGAACCAUUGUUAGUCCCCAGGCGAACCCUCAUCCUGGCUGGCUACAAGCGGAAGAGUAACUCAACCUUUUUAUAAGUCUGUACAAUACUCAAAAUAAAAGUAAAUACAGAAACUUCCUCAACUAUGUCUAUCUAUGAAGCCUCUACUAUUACAAAAGGAUAUCGGGACAAGACACACGACAUCUUAAAACUACUAACUAUAAGAUAAAGGUGAAGUCCUUCGGAAUAUAAAAAGGCUCACCAAAGCUGACUGAAAUAUCACAUGACCUCAACAAAACGACUGUUGAUGAUCCUGAAUCCCUGUAUCUCCAUUAUAAAAUGGUGUAGGCCAAAUGGCUCAGUACAUGGAAUGUACGAGCAUGUAAGGGGAAUUCUAAAGCAUAAACAUAAGCUUGAACUGAUGGAAAGAACAUACUUACCUUUUCUCAACUCACUCAACUCAAUGAAACAUAGUUCAACUCAACUCAGAGAAAAUAGGGCUCAAAUCAAUAAUAAGAUAUUCAACUCAGAAUACUCAACUCUGGAUACUCUACUAUGGAUACUCAACUCAAGAUAAAGCAACAAUAAAAGAUGCAAUAUUUGAAAAGCUUUUAAAACAGCAGAUAACAACUCAAUGUAUUGAAAAAUACAAUAAUAACUCAGCUUGUAUAUAUAAAAUACAAUAUAACUCUAUGGGAGAUUCUCUAACCGACAACCAUCACUAUGAUCUAUGUGAUGAUACAGCAUCUAGCCCACGCUGCCAGAACUAUCCUAUACUUUUCCGGGGUAUAGAACCUACUACUAAGUGGAUCCACUAGUCUAUGCUAAAAACACAUUAAGGAAUCAUCUAAAAAGUAUGACCCUCACGUUGGCUACAUGAUUUAUGGGGGCUGUGAGUUGUCUAAACUCUCCCCCAUAUCGGUGCUCAAUACUACUCCCAAAAUAUAACUAGCUCAUAUGUUUAAAAACAUAAUUCUUUAUGUGGUUUGAGAUUAUUACUCAAAAGGUUUCUCUUAAAAGAGACUACUAAAAAUUUCUCAUGAAACUCUUUUGGAAAUCGGUGUUUCCUCUCUGCUUAAAUUUAAAAACAUUUACUCUAGGAAAUACUUAGUUCCCAUAUAUUCUGUCACGCCCCGAGCCUACACCCUGGACGUGGCCGGCACUCGANNNNNNNNNNNNNNNNNNNNNNNNNNNNNNNNNNNNNNNNNNNNNNNNNNNNNNNNNNNNNNNNNNNNNNNNNNNNNNNNNNNNNNNNNNNNNNNNNNNNNNNNNNNNNNNNNNNNNNNNNNNNNNNNNNNNNNNNNNNNNNNNNNNNNNNNNNNNNNNNNNNNNNNNNNNNNNNNNNNNNNNNNNNNNNNNNNNNNNNNNNNNNNNNNNNNNNNNNNNNNNNNNNNNNNNNNNNNNNNNNNNNNNNNNNNNNNNNNNNNNNNNNNNNNNNNNNNNNNNNNNNNNNNNNNNNNNNNNNNNNNNNNNNNNNNNNNNNNNNNNNNNNNNNNNNNNNNNNNNNNNNNNNNNNNNNNNNNNNNNNNNNNNNNNNNNNNNNNNNNNNNNNNNNNNNNNNNNNNNNNNNNNNNNNNNNNNNNNNNNNNNNNNNNNNNNNNNNNNNNNNNNNNNNNNNNNNNNNNGUCUGCAUCAUCAUAAGAUGCAGGCCAACUGUCAUCAGUACAUUGAAUGUACGAGUAUGCGAGCUGGAAACUAAACCACAACUAAAGCUUGAAAGGAGUACAAAGGAACUCUUACCUUGGCUCUGUUCAACUCAUGAAUAACUGAACUCAAUAUAAAGCAAUAAGACACAUGCAAUAUACAAAGCUUGUAAAACUAUUAAAACAUGACGUAAAAUCAUAUUUAUAAUAUCAUAAAAAUAUCAUGCUUNNNNNNNNNNNNNNNNNNNNNNNNNNNNNNNNNNNNNNNNNNNNNNNNNNNNNNNNNNNNNNNNNNNNNNNNNNNNNNNNNNNNNNNNNNNNNNNNNNNNNNNNNNNNNNNNNNNNNNNNNNNNNNNNNNNNNNNNNNNNNNNNNNNNNNNNNNNNNNNNNNNNNNNNNNNNNNNNNNNNNNNNNNNNNNNNNNNNNNNNNNNNNNNNNNNNNNNNNNNNNNNNNNNNNNNNNNNNNNNNNNNNNNNNNNNNNNNNNNNNNNNNNNNNNNNNUGUUGGGACAGACCCCGCAACACCCUAAUAAAACAAAACUAAGAGAACAAAAUAACCGAGUCCUCCAGAAUGCAAAGAGGCUCACCACUGACUUUGGAGUACUCAGCUGGAUCAACGGCGUACCGGAUGCUGGUCCUGGGUACCUGUGUCUACAUCAUUAUAAGAUGCAGGCCAACUGGCAUCAGUACAUUGAAUGUACGAGUAUGCGAGUUGGAAAGCUAAACCACAACUUAAGCUUGAAAGGAGUACAAAGGAACUCUUACCUUGGCUCUGUUCAACUCAUGAAUAACUGAACUCAAUAUGAAGCAAUAAGACACAUGCAAUAUAUAAAGCUUGUAAAACUAUUAAAAUAUGACGUCAAAAUCAUAUUUAUAAUAUCAUAAAAUACCCUUUACGUUCAAUAAAGACUCUUGAACAACUUUGAAAACUUGUUUUUUAAUUUCUAGACUCGACUCUUAACUUCACUUUGACUUGAUCCUAGCUCGCCUUGAAUUGGAUUAUGGAUUCAAGGUAUAUGCUCACAUGUUUAUGGAUGAGUUCUUGACGUUUAGACGUACCUUGGAGUGUCGAAAACAACUAUGAAACAUAGGUACAUUACCAAGGAACAUGCAUGAAAAAGUGGGGAAUGAACGGGAAAGGUUGGCGUCCUUGGCGCUCUGAGAGGCGCGGGGCGCCAGCCCUACAACUUCAAAAGGGGCCUGCUGGCGCUCUUCUAGGUGCGCCGCCCCAAGGGGGAAAGUUCAGAGCCCCUUUUAGGGCGUGCUGGCAGGCGCAACGCCCCACCCUUUUUCCCCGAAAAAUCAACUUUUCUCCUUAGUUUCUCCAACUCUAAAGCCUCUCAACAACAAAGAUUCUUCCCCCAAACACUUAGAAUCAUUAAGACCCUUAACAUGCAAUAGAUUCAACUCAAAAACACCACCACAAGAUUUCAACAACCACAACUAAAUCUUUUCUCAGAAUUUAAAACGAGUUUGGCGUGUUGGGGAAAAAACCAACCCAACACUAUGAUCUCACAUACCUUAAUAGGGAUCACCCCCGACGAAAACCACGACGAUCUUUACGGAGUUUGCUUCUUCUUCUCCUCUUCUCUCCUUUUCUCUCAAGAACCCUAACUCUUACUUUUAAAAGGAAAAACUGAUUUAAAAUCAGUCUACCACCUUAAUAUAUAUCCACAAGAAAUGGUUAGGGAAAAGACCAAAAUACCCUUACAAUUUCCGGACUGACUUCCCUUACCAACAGCCCAACUUCGAAAGGGCAUAACUCACUCAUACGAACUCGAAAUCGAGCAAACUCAGCGGCAUUGGAAAGAUCAUUCCACAGGCUUCGCAACCAUAACUGGAACUACACCAACUCAUCCUGAGUUAGGAGUUAUGACUGUUCAAAGUUGGCCAAAAACUCACUUUUUCCCAUACUUCACCAAAUUUUCCAGAUUUUUAAAAUUCUUUCCAAAAAAAAUGACUAUUUCCAAUUCUACGCCUCUUCAUAGUUAUUUCAAAUUGCCGGAUGUUACAUAUUCAUUUUGAAAAAUGAACUCAACUCUACUCUUUCUCUAACUCAAGUGCUCAAGUCUUAAAACAAGUUUAAAGUGAUUGUAAAAGACUUCUCAAAAUAGGGUUUAUGCCGAAUUAUGGACAUGAACGACUCAAUUCAAGGUUUUCAAUAACCAUAUAUAUAGAACUUCUGUCACGACCCGAGUCCACACCCUGGACGUAGCCGGCACUCAAGAACCAUUGCUAGUCCCCAAGCGAACCCUCAUCCUGGCUGAUUACUAGCGGAAGACUAACUUAAGCAUGCAAAAGCUUAAAACUGAAUAAAAUUCAAUAAACUCAACUUUGUAAAACAUUAACUCAAAUGAACAACUUAGAAUAAAAAUAAUAUAUUCAACUCGCCAUAAAAUAGGCAACUUAGGUCUUUAAAACAUUUAAUAAAAUAAAUGAAUAAUACAGACUUCUUGUCACGCCCCGAACUACCCCCGAGACGCGGACACGGGACCUAGGANNNNNNNNNNNNNNNNNNNNNNNNNNNNNNNNNNNNNNNNNNNNNNNNNNNNNNNNNNNNNNNNNNNNNNNNNNNNNNNNNNNNNNNNNNNNNNNNNNNNNNNNNNNNNNNNNNNNNNNNNNNNNNNNNNNNNNNNNNNNNNNNNNNNNNNNNNNNNNNNNNNNNNNNNNNNNNNNNNNNNNNNNNNNNNNNNNNNNNNNNNNNNNNNNNNNNNNNNNNNNNNNNNNNNNNNNNNNNNNNNNNNNNNNNNNNNNNNNNNNNNNNNNNNNNNNNNNNNNNNNNNNNNNNNNNNNNNNNNNNNNNNNNNNNNNNNNNNNNNNNNNNNNNNNNNNNNNNNNNNNNNNNNNNNNNNNNNNNNNNNNNNNNNNNNNNNNNNNNNNNNNNNNNNNNNNNNNNNNNNNNNNNNNNNNNNNNNNNNNNNNNNNNNNNNNNNNNNNNNNNNNNNNNNNNNNNNNNNNNNNNNNNNNNNNNNNNNNNNNNNNNNNNNNNNNNNNNNNNNNNNNNNNNNNNNNNNNNNNNNNNNNNNNNNNNNNNNNNNNNNNNNNNNNNNNNNNNNNNNNNNNNNNNNNNNNNNNNNNNNNNNNNNNNNNNNNNNNNNNNNNNNNNNNNNNNNNNNNNNNNNNNNNNNNNNNNNNNNNNNNCGAAUUAUGGACAUGAACUACUCAAUGCAAGGUUUUCAAUAACCAUAGAUAGAACUUAACUUCUUGGAACUCAAGAACUUCACUAAUACUACUCAUUUCAAGAAUGCUCAACUCAGAGGGUUCAUGCGGAAUAUGAGCAUGAACUACUCAACUCAAGGACUCAAAUAUACUUCUCAUCUCAAGACUAUUCGACUUAUAAUGUUCAUGCAGAAUUAUGAGCAUGAAAUAUUCAACUCAAGGACUCAAAGAUACUUCUCAAAAGGGAUUAGGAACUCAACACUUAAAGGCUUAGAACUUGAAGAUACCACUUCUCUGAAGGAUACUCAACUUACGACGUUCAUGCGGAGUUAUGGGCAUGAAACAACUCGACUCGAUGAUCUACAUAACAAUAUGGAACUCAUGUAUACGACUCUUCUUAUUCUCUGACUUACUUCCUCAAAACUUAGUUCAAAUCGAUAGUUGAUCUCAAAGGAUUCACAAUUGAACUCAAAGGCUUUCUUGAACUCUACUCUUAACUCUCUCUUGAAUGUGAAUUAUGAAUUCAAGAGUUAUAGUUCAUGAUAAGAAAGAUCUCAUGAUGACAAGGUAGACUCAUGAAUACAUUAUUCGCACUCUCAUACUCACUUGCUCGAGUCUUGAAACAAGUUAUUAGAAUUUGUAGAAGACUCCUAAAAAGACAAAAAGGUAUUUUCUGAAAAAUGUUCAAAAGAACUCUCAAGACUUGACUCUCAACGCUACCUUGAAUGUGAUUUAUGAAUUCAAGGUUGUGAUUUGUGAUAGGAAAGGUCUCAUGAUGUUUAGGAAUGAUUUUAGAUAGCUAAACAUAAGAAAAGACUGAAAACCAAUAUUUGAGAGUGGGUCCGCGACGCGGAGAGGCCUUUAAAAUUUGGUUUUGAAAACGUCUUUUGAGGCAGAACACCUCGUGUCAGCUUCGCGUCUUUCGAAUCUGGGCACUAGGCACGCGACGCGCUACCACCUUCAAAUUUCGUUCGACGAAAUUUCUUCUUCGUUUUCUAACCCCAAUUCACCUAAAUUCGAUUCCUUUUCUCAAUCUCUCUUUAGAUUUAGAUACCUAGCACAUGUACACUAUAAUCUAACUCUAACCCCUCUAUAAAUCGACACAUUAACCUCAAGAACUCCUCAAUCUCAACCCAAUUCAAGAACGAAAGCAAAUUCAUGAAUACAUAACAAGAACAUCAAAGCUUCAACUUUUAGAAUGAAUUUAAAGUUGAAAUUAACAUGAUUGGCGUGUGGGUGAACAAACCCAACACUAUGGAAGCUUACAUACCUGAAAGAAUCAUCUUCUUGAAGAAAAUUGAAGGAAAAUCUUGAAAGAUGAACCCUAGCCUUAGCGUUUCUUGAAUUUUUUGAGCGUAGAAUCUUUGGAGUGAAUGAGAGGGUUUAGAUUUAAGAAAACUGACUUUCUACACGUUUAGGUAAUUUAGAUGACCUCCUAAGGGUUUUUAGGACUAAAAUACCCCUAAAGAAAUAAUUAAAACGAGCUGGAAGUCGGAAAGAUCUUUCACCAGGCAGUGAGGUCCGUGUUGGCUCCUCGUCGCGGACUGCUGCCAGUUUUGCGCGACGUUAGUAAAUUCGUCAUAACUUUUUACUCAGAGCUCGGAAUUGAGAAAACUCGGUGGUGUUGGAAAGAUAAUUCGAAGACCUUUCCUAAGGUAUAUGGUAUCACACCUAAAUCAUCCUUAUCUAGGAGUUAUGGUCAUUUGAAGUCGACCCAAAACUCAUAUUUAGCUUAACUUGCAAAAUUUCAGAUUUUGCUAUUUCCAAUUCGAUUAUUUUUGGAACUCAAGGUGAUAUAUCUAGUGACCUUAACACUCAAGAAAUUUUAAAUUCCUUGCAAAAAUCUCACUCACUACAAAGAACUGUUCGAGUCUUAGUUCAAAAAAUUUCUGGGGUGUUACAACUUCAAUACUAGGAACUCAACAACUCCAGAACUCAAGGUCUCAAUGAUACUACUCAUCUCGAUACUGCUCUACUCACAUUGUUCAUGCGGAAUUAUGGGCAUGAACAACUCAACUCAAGGACCUUCAUAGGUGACAUGUAGUAUUCCCACAAUUAGGAAUAUAAUCUCACAAGGGUUAGGAACUCAAUACUCAAGAACUUAGAACUUGAAGAUACUGCUCCUCUCAAAGAUACUCAAUUUAUGGAGUUCAUGCGGAAUUUAUGGGCAUGAACAACUUACUCAAGGGUCGGCAUAACAAUAUGGACUCAUGUGUACGACUCUUCUCAUUCUCAUGCUUACUUCCUCAAAACUCUGUUUAAGAACUCAAGUGUUGGCUUUAAAAAAAAGUUUUUUAAAAUUUAUAACUCAAAAUAGGGUUCAUGCUGAAAUAUAGACAUGAACACAAAUCAACUCUAGGAUCUCAAUAACAAUAUAGAAACUCAAUAAUUAGGAUAGAAUUUUUAAAAGAAACAUGAACUCAAAAUCAACUUAUCUCAAGAAUACUCAAAUCUAGGGAAAGAAUCCUAGAUUACUUUUUUACUGAUCUGAAAGUAGAUGUAGGGCGUGAGAACGAACUAGUUCAGCACUAUGAUAGCCUUACAUACCUGGAAGAACAAGGUUCUUGAAGAAUCUUGAUUAGAAGUUCUUGAAACCCUAGCUUGAAGGUAAACAAUCAAGAAAACCUUUCUUGAGAUUCUUGAAUUAGUUUCUUGAAAUCUCUAUGACCAAGAAUUAUGAUUUUCAUUAGUGAUUCAUAAUUGUAUGAAGGAAUUUGAGUUGGAAAGAAUGAAAUUCUUGGAGAAGGACUUACAUUGAAGAAGAAUCUUGAAGAAGAUUGAAAGAAUCUUGAAAAGAUUGAAAGAAUCUUGAAUGGAGUCUUCUACUUUGAUUUUUCCUUAAGGUUUUACCCUAGGAUUUCAGAGAGAAGAGAAUGAUGGAUUAAAAGAUGAAAAUCUAAUUGUUUUGAGCCUUAUAGUAAUCAAGAAAUUCGCAACUAUCACCUCAUGAACUCAACCAGAACUUCAUUAUCAAAGAACGAAGCACAAAACCUCAAGAACUCAACAAGAUUAUCAACAUACUCAAUCUCAUGGAUGAAAUUCGUAAAAGAAACUCAUGAUUGGCAUGUGGGAGAACUAACCCAACACUGUGGAAGCUUACGUACCUCAAAGAACUAGGUUCUUGGCGAAAUCUUGAAUUUCUUGAACGAACACUUGAAACUUUGAACUUUUUCUCCUGUUGAAUCUUCCCUCUAAAACCCUAAACACUUUGGAGAUGAAUGAAACUGAUUCUAAUCAAUUUAGACCCUUAAUUGGGUGUAAUUCACGUUUAGAAUAAGUGGGGGUAAGGAAAAGACUAAAAUACCCCUCCCAUUUUCAGGUAACUUUCCUUAAAUGGACAACCUGACUUCAAAAGGGCAUAUCUCCCUCAUACGAGCUCAAAAAAUAGCAACCUCGGUGGCUUUAGAAAGAGGACUCAGAUAUUUUUCAUUUGAUGUCUUAUGGGUUUCCUAACUUAUCUUGUACUGAAAGUUAUGGUCAUUUGAAAUUGACCCAAAACUUAAAAGAACUAAGGAAUGACUUGAAUGAAUUCUCUUUAAUUCUUUUUGGAACUCAAGGUGCUAUAUCUAGUGACCUAGCCUUAAUACGUAAGAAAUUUUAAAUUCCUUGGUAAAUUUUACUCACAACGAAGCAUGGUUCGAGUCUUAGCUCAAAAAAAAUUCCAGGGUGUUACAUUAAGACUUUGUUAUAGAUCUGAUUCAUUCAGACUCAUUAAGACCCAUUAAGAUGUUUUUUUUUUAUUAAAAGAAACAAAUGGGCUUAAUGGGCUGAAUCUUAAUCAUACAUAUUCAGACUUAAAAACCAAAUGCACUUAAUGGGCUGAAUAUGAAUGAUUAAGAUUCAAACAUUCAUUAAGUGCAAAUAAAUGAGGCCUUACACAGAAUAUAAUACCUCGAUGAAAAUGGUUCUUUAAUAUCAUCCCAACUCCAUACUAAUUGGUUCAUAUGCCGUUGGGACUUGGGAUCAUACUGAAGAACCAUUUCUAUCAAGGGAGAUUUUUUUUUUUUUAAAGUGUAUUCAAAAUAACCUCACUAACAUUGGCUUGCAUACACCUUUGUGAUAAUGAGUGUCAUUUUAAAAAAACAUAUUUUCUUGAGCUGAGAGUCUCUUAUAAUUAUUCUCUUUAUGAUAGAUACUAAUCAUGUGUUUUCAAUAUAUUAUCUUAGAUGUUAUUGUAAAAAUAUUAUUUAUUGCUACACAAAUUUUGAGUAGUUUAGUUUAAAGUUCUAAAAUAUUUAUGGUAGAUAGUUAUUUUUGUUAUAUAUAUAUAUAUACACACACACAAAUUUUAUUCGAUUGAAUUCAUACGAAAUUUAGAUUAAAUCCAUGUUUAUAUGAGUUAAAUGAUUAAUUUGGGCUUUAAAAAUAAAUAAGUCUAUUUUUAUUAAAUUCAAGUCCAGGGUUUAUUUCACAUUGAAGCCCAAAUCCAUGUCACAUGUCAUAAUGACGAGGCAUCCAAGACCAACAAGUAACGCCACAUGUCCAAAUGAGGUGGUAGUCUCAGUCAAAUGCAAGAACCAAUCACAAUCUGCCAAGUGUCAAAAUGGUCAAUCAUAAGCAAACCUUGUCCACCCCCUACAACUAUAAAUCGGGGAUGGACAUGACAUUCUGAAGGCACUAAAAAACACUUCAACAAGCAUUGGAGCAAAUGCUGGAGAAAGCUACAACAUCAUCUACAUAACUCUUUGAAGGAGUGGUUGGCAGAGUUCUUCUCGGAGAUCGACUUGAAACGAAGAAUUGCUUCCUAACAUUUCCGGAGAUCAAACACUAGCUCUUCAGAGGAGUGGUCAACGGAGUACUUCCCGGAGAUCGACUUGAAACGACGAAGUGCUUCCCGAUGUUCUUAGAGAUCAAAUACAUCUCAAGGAGGUCUACAUCAUCCUACAUUCAAGAAAUACGCUACUAAAGCCCUCGAAUCACAGAGAAGUUUGGGAGAAAAGAAUCAAGAGAACAAUAGAAUUGUACUCACAAGAUUCAUCAACAAAAAUCACAUUUUUCUUUUAUUUAUUUUGCUUGCAGUUAAUUUUCAGUGCCAACGAAAAUUUGUUGGGAAUAUAUAUAUAUAUAUAUAUAUAUAAAGAAAUAAUCAUAAUGGACGAAAAUAUAGACCAUUUAAACUCAAUUGGAAAAACUAUUUCGAAGAGAUACCACAUGUUUGAAAUGUGUUAGCUUGGAAAGUUAAGUAUUGAUGCUGUGUGAUUGAGUAAAAUAACACAUUAUUCGAGUGAGAUAUAUAACACCCAUUGUCUCAACCAUUAGAGAGAUUAGAAUAAACUAAAGCUAGGUUUUUAAUUGAUGUGAAACACUAUAACACACCAACAUGGGUUGUGGUACACUGGUGGGAGUGUUUCACCAUUAACGAGAGGUCUCGGGUUCGAGCCCUGGGUAUGGAGAAAAUCUUGUUGGGAGCGUCACCCCCGAAUAGGCCCUGCAGUGCGCGAUCCAGAUUUAGUUGGAGCUCCAAUGUGGGCUCCGAACACCGGGUGGGAAACCAAAAAAAGAAACACUAUAACACGUAAGAUGAUAUGAUGUAGGAAUCUUGGGGUAUCCUAAAAGUCUUUUAUUCAAGGUGAAGUGUUGACGUAAGAAUGGUCAUAUAAGGUCAUUUGGGAUGACUUCCAAGCGGAUGUCACACAACGUAACCUUCCGCGUUCAAUAGACUACAUGUGUAUCCAAUCCUCGAAUGGUUUAAUCUACACUAGUGUAAGAAGGGUUUAAUCUAUUUUUAAGUCAUUUGACAGUCGAGGCAGACAUUGUUUAGUUGAAGCACUGCCAAGAAUCCUCUACAUCGAUGAAUGUUUUACUGAAAAAUAAACACUUACCAGCAACGUUUGUUCCAGAUCAUGGUUUGUAUGAACAUUAGAUAUUGCACGAAGAACACAAUCAGAAGGAGAAAGCCCAAGCAUGAGACUACAUAUGAUCGGUCUAAAUUCUGAAACUCUGCCCUUUGAAUUGUCCUAUUCACCAGUCAAGAAAUUACGUCAAAACUUAUGAUAACAUUUUCUUUUUUGCUGAGUUUCUCAACCCUUUGACUUAGCAAUAGUCAGUUUUAUUUCUCGAUGGGGGUAGGCAAGGGAUAUAAAUUAGUGGUAGAGUGUCACCUUGAUUAGCUCUAAGCUCAAUGUGAAUUUUUCUCUAUAAUUCUAAAUAAAAUUAUGAAUUUUGUAUUCAAGUUGAAAUAUAACCUCAUGUUCAGCAAUUCUCUUCAGUUCUGCAUCUGCCAUGUCCAAUGAUAGAAUCUGUAGCAGUAAGUUUCCCUCCUCUGGAAUUUCUUCAUUUGGUCCAUAGUACUUCUUCUCAAAUGCAUGGUCCAUAUUUAAUGCUCUUAGGGGUCGUUUGGUUUGAAUAUGAGUUAUGAUGGGAUAAGUUAUGUUGGGAUAAGUUAUGUUGGGAUUAGUUAUGAUGGGAUAAGUUGUCCUGGGAUUAUUUCUUAUUGAGUGUUUAGUUUGUUAUAUUCAAAAUAAUAUAUAUUGAUAAAUUUUAAGAACAAGUUGUUUGUUUACAAAAUUACCCUUCACUUUAUUUAAACUUUUUAAAUAUUUCUUUGUGAGCUUUAGUUAUUCAUUUUUUAAAAUAAAAUUUUUAUUUUAUUUAACUUAAAUAUUUUUGUUUAUGUAUUCCCAUGAUAAGUACCAUGUGUAUUUAAAAAUAUAACUUUUUUCUUAUUUAGCUUAAAAAUAGAACUUCCCUCUUAGAUUUAUUAAAGAGAAGAAAAUUUAUGAGAAAUCAAAAUAAAAUAAACAUAAGAAUUAGUCAAAUAAAUUCAUAAAUAAAAAUUAUAUUUAUAUAGUAUAAUUUUUUAAUAGAAAAAUAUGUAUAAUUAUCAUAAAAAUAAGGAGUAGUAAAUAUUAUUAUACAUGGUAUUAAAAAAANNNNNNNNNNNNNNNNNNNNNNNNNNNNNNNNNNNNNNNNNNNNNNNNNNNNNNNNNNNNNNNNNNNNNNNNNNNNNNNNNNNNNNNNNNNNNNNNNNNNNNNNNNNNNNNNNNNNNNNNNNNNNNNNNNNNNNNNNNNNNNNNNNNNNNNNNNNNNNNNNNNNNNNNNNNNNNNNNNNNNNNNNNNNNNNNNNNNNNNNNNNNNNNNNNNNNNNNNNNNNNNNNAUGGGAUAAGUUGUCCUGGGAUUAUUUCUUAUUGAGUGUUUGGUUUGUUAUAUUCAAAAUAAUAUAUAUUGAUAAAUUUUAAGAACAAGUUGUUUGUUUACAAAAUUACCCUUCACUUUAUUUAAACUUUUUAAAUAUUUCUUUGUGAGCUUUAGUUAUUCAUUUUUUAAAAUAAAACUUUUAUUUUAUUUAACUUAAAUAUUUUUGUUUAUGUAUUCCCAUGAUAAGUACCAUGUGUAUUUAAAAAUAUAACUUUUUUCUUAUUUAGCUUAAAAAUAGAACUUCCCUCUUAAGUUUAUUAAAGAGAAGAAAAUUUAUGAGAAAUCAAAAUAAAAUAAAUAUAAGAAUUAGUCAAAUAAAUUCAUAAAUAAAAAUUAUAUUUAUAUAGUAUAAUUUUUUAAUAGAAAAAUAUUUAUAAUUAUCAUAAAAAUAAGGAGUAGUAAAUAUUAUUAUACAUGGUAUUCAAAAAAAUGUAAAUAUACAUAAAUGUAAAAAAUGAUGUAUAAAAAGGAUUUAAAGGGACAUAUUUGUCAUUUACCUAUUUUAUCUCGGGAUAAGUUAUCCCGGGAUUACUAUACCACCCAUGGGGAGGGAUAACUUAUCCCGGUACUAAUUAUUAAUCCCGGGAUAAGUUAUCCCGGACUUGCCAACCAAACAACAUAAUUAUUUUUUUAUCCCAUCAUUAUUUCCUUAUCCCAUCACUAUUAUUUCUAAUCCCUCACACCAAACGAGCCCUUAGAGUGUCUAGUGAAAUAUAUCAAAUAUCUAAAGCUAUAUAUAAUUUUGUUCCAACGUUAGCUAGUACACGUAGAUACACCUUAACAUGUACACUUGAGUCCGCCUCUGCCCCUAAACAAAUCAGCCAAGUUUGAGUAAAGAUAAAUCAGACAUAUUCAUGACCUCUUUUCACCUCUUAAUAAAGCAAUUGCUAAUUAAUGUUACAAAAGUCUUUAUAAACUCAAUAACAAUAUAAUAUACAAAACUAAUAUCAUAACUCAAGCAUACUUUGCUGAAACUGUACAAACAAAAUUGUUCCCUGACCCUUCAUCCAGAUGGAACUUAGAAGUGAAAGCAUAUAUAUAUAAAGCUACAAACAUAACAAUAUAAGUGUAGUUGACGUUAUUUUAAUAAUAAAUAAAUCAGGACCAAACAUGUCCUCCAUCCAACUUCUUCUGUUUCUUCUUCCUCUUCUUUUCUUGUUUUGUAUCUUCCCUUGCUUCAAUACGUUUCGCAUUGCAUGAGCGUAUCUCCCAUAAUUUAGUCUUCACAUCUCGAGAUACAACACCCAACCGCAUAGACAUCAAUUGCUGAGCAAAACAGAAAAUUGUAUACUCACGUCCUCGUGAACUUGGAAAAGCAGUUAACAAAAUCAAAAUCACAAAAACCUACCUCAAGAUGACACAUUGCAGCAAGGUUGCCACCAAUGAGAUCUUUGAAUUCCUGUGGUAGUCACACAUGAAUUCAUGUCAGAAAUAGAAUCCCCUAUCGAGAAAAGUGCUUCUCCAUUUACAAGCUUAGUUUAUAAAAAUGAUAGUAGAAUGGGGUGAGGUGUGCAGGUAGCAGCACACAAGUCAUGGAGAUGGCUGGAACCGUAUCAUCUUUUAGAAAAGAUAAAGACAUGCAACAUCUUCAACUUUGAUAAAAUUUCUCUAAAAAGUCGCAUAGCAAAUGUACUCAGACAACUUACCUUAACUUUUGGAGGAACACUGUCUUCUAGACGGGUGACUAGGGGUUUGGCGGAGACAGUUGAAAUCAGCUGGUGAUGAUGAAGUCGCACUACUAUUGCUGCUACAUUACCAACAAGCUCCACCUGAACAACGAUAACUAUUGUGAAAUUCAAAAUUCGACAUAGCUUGUAAACAGCAUAAGAUACAAACUUCAUUCAAGCAAUGCAUACAUGAUACAAUUACAAGUUUGAAGACAUAAUACUACCUAGUUCAUAUGGGCGUGCAAGAAUUUGCUGAUUGGUAACCUAACUGUAUAUAAAACCAGGGAAAAAAUUGCCGAUUGCUACCAAGUACUGAGUACUGAAACAACACAUUAUCUACUCUUUGGAGAUCGACCUUAACAUGAGAAGAUUCUUUGCAAUUAUUUUGUUUUCAAAAGCUCAAGCACAAUAUUUGUUUUAUAACAUAAAUGCAACAAAAUUCGACAUCCCUGAGAGAAAAUAUUAACCUUAUCUGGUAUGAAGGCCCAACUCUCCAGGUACAAAAAGAGCUCCAAAUUAUCAGAAAAGGGUAAAGCCUGCAAGGAUUAUUUAUAUAUAUAUAAUAUAUAUAUGUGAAGACAAAAUCAAAAUUGACAGAAUAUAGACCAUUUAAACUCAAUUGAAAAAGACAAAUUCAAAGAGACACCAAAUGUUGAUGUGCAAAGCUUGGAAAGUUGAAGUAUGGAUUCUGUGGGAUUGAGUAGGAUAACACAUUAUUCAAGUGAGAUUUGUAACCCCCAUCUCAACCAUUAGAGCGAUUAAAUAAACUAAAGCUAGGUUUUUAAUUGAUGUCAGACGCUAACACAUGCUAGAUGAUAUGAGGUAGGAAUGCUCACAUAAGGUCAUUUGGGAUGCCUUCCAUGUGGACGGAUGGAUUCAAGGCACAUAACAAAUUUUGAGUAAACCACACAACCAUGUAAACUUGGUUAAGUUUUGUGCAAAAGAUGUCAAAACCUUCCGCGUUCAAUAGACUCCAUUUCAACCACAGAUAAGCUCUCUAGGAAUAGAAACAUACUAGUGUCCAUAAUCAAAGCAGGAAGUUCAAUUAUUGCUUGAUUAUAUCUAAUAACAAAUAUCAUGUGUAUCCAUCCUCUAAUGGUCUAAUCUACACCUACGGGAAGAAGGGUCUAAUCUAUUUUUAAGUCAUUUGACAAUCAAGGCAGACAUUGUUUAGUUGAAGCACUGCCAAGAAUCCUCUUUUCAAAAAGCUUCAAAGAGGCAAUGGCCAAUGACAUAGAAAACAGAGACCAAUUAUAAACGACAAAAGACAAUGGUAUGGAAAAAUUAUAGAACCCUCUCAGAUUGAACUUAAGAUUUCCAUUUGGGAUAGUUUUAAACUAAUGUCAGUACCCUCGAAAAGAUGUUCUCUCUCUUAUUAUGCACCAUCAAAAGUCAAAUGGGAUAGACCAAAAAGCUUCCCAUUAUAAAAAAUAAACCUAACCCGGAGAACACAUCCAGGCAUGGUGUGUCCACGCAGACUUAAGCUCAAUAAAAUAUACAUGGUCAAAGCUUUAGCCUCAAGUGUACGGAAUCGCCUAGGUGACAUUUGAAUUGAGACAGUUAAAAACCACUUCAGGUCAGGAAGCAAUUACUGAAAAAAAUGAAUUUCCUAAAUAUAAUGAAUUUUUUACUGAAAACAAACACUUACCAACAACACCUGUUCCAGAUCAUUAGUAUGAACACUAGAUAAUGCACGAAGAAUAUAAUCAGACGGAGAAAGCCCAAGCAUGAGAAUAUUCGGUCUGAAUGCUGAAACUCUGCCCUUUAAUUUUUCAACCUACAUAUACAAACAUUAUUCGCUAGUCAAGAAAUUACCACGUCAAAAUUUCUGAUAAUGUUUCCUUUUUUAUAAUGAACUAGCAAUGUAUUACACUCCACAUCCAACCACCCAGUUCUGAAGAAAAAGGAGAGGAAGGGAAAGACAUGUAUAUUUAGAUAACAACCUCUAUUGGCCACCAUUAUUUAGUCAUUCAUUGAGUUUAUCGACCCUUUGGCUUAGGAUUAGUCAGAUCUAUUUCUCGAUGGGGUGUGGAAGGGAUAUAACUCAGCGAUACAGUAUCACCUUGACGUUGUGUCAGAGCCUAAUUAUCCCUACGUCCAAUGUGAUUUUUUCUUUAUAAAUCUAAUAAACUUAUGAAUUUUGUAUCAAGUAGGUUUCAGUUUAUAAAAGAGAUUACAUCAAAGCUAAAACCACUCUACUUUAACUUCAUUCUCAUAAAAAAAACAGACAGUGGAGGAAGAACAGUAAGAAGAUGCUACAGGUAGCAGAAAGGAAACCUCAUGUUCAGCAAUACGCUUCCGUUCCCCAUUUGCCAUGUCCAGUGCUUCAAUGAUAGAAUCUGUACCAGUAAGAGUUUCUUGUGUCAUUUUCCCCGCUAAAGCCACAGCUCCCUCUUCUGGAAGUUCUUCCUUUAUUGCAUACUUAUUCUCAAAUGCAUUGUCGGUUUCUAAUGCAAACAUCUCUUCCAAUCUCUUUUCUUUCUCUUCCUGCAAUUCCAAGUAGCAAUUUACAAUUACUCUCUUUAACUGUCUAAGACUGAUGCAGUAUUUGAGACACACAAUAUAAUACCUCAAUAAAAAGUUGUUCUUCGGUACGAUCCCAACGUCGUAUGGAACGAUCAUGUGAUCCUGUAACGAUAAAAUCGCCGCGGUUGCUAAUCGCAAGACACCAAACUUCAGCAUGGUGACCUUCAAGAGUUAAAAGCAACUCAAACUUAUCGGCAUCCCAAUACUUCACCAGGCGAUCUUUUCCCACACUAAAAAAGUAAUGGGUGUUACACACAAACUUAAUUCCCAUGACACUGCCAUGAAAACAGAGUAUCAACAUUUAUUAAUUGUUAGCUAGUUGAAUAUUAUAAUACUAGAGAGUAAUUACUGUUGUAAUGAGGCACCUGUCAGCGUGCGCAAAAAGUGACUUAUGAAUAUCCCCGAAAACUAGACCCCAAAUUCUCACAUUUUUGUCCGCGGAGCCAGUUACAAGAAGAUCCCCAUCUGAAGAAAUAUCCAUACAGAAUACAGGAAGAUUAUGACCGUAGAGCGAAAGAAAGAACUUGAGUGAAUCCAUAUAGAAGACCUGAAAAUAAAUAUCCCAAUUUUUGAGUACUUCAACACAAGAGAUUGCAUGUCUCUCCUAACGAACCAGCAGAUAGUAGGAACAAAACAACUAAUUUCAUCUUGCAACGUCUCAUAAUAGAAUCCAUAUCAGGGACAGCAACACUAAAACAUUGGGAAAUUACCAAGUGUAACAACAAAAUCCAUAUCAGGCAGAAGAACUUUUUGAUGUUUUAGACUAUUUGUGACAAAAGGCACAGAUGGAGUCAGUCUAGUUUGUAAUACUUUUGGAAGGGGGACUACUUUGAUGUAGUAUACUUGUGGAUAAAUAGAAGAAAAAGUUACCAUUAUCAAAAAAAAAAAAAACUGUUUUUUUUUUCUAAUACAUAAGCUUAGAUGUAGCUCGUAAAGCAUCAAAAAUAAACAUAUGGUAAAUAAGAAGCAACAAGUAAAAUCAAACUCAGAAUUGAACAUAAAGAUAUGGUGAACAACACUAUUGUAAAGCCUUAAAAACCUGAUACGACAAGCAGCAUUUGUUAGACCGUUACCUUUACUGUGUUAUCCGACAAAGCAACAGCAACUAAUUUACCAUCAGGGCUCGCAGCCACGACUAAAACAUCAUCAUUCAUUUUUAAGCUCCUUCCAGGAGAUGCAGUUAAAUGCUUAUACACCUGUAUAUCGAAAAAUAGAACACAUCACUAAUUACCAGCAGGAAACAAAAGGCGUAGUUGUAAGAAUGCCAAUUAAGAAGAGUAAAUUUACGUACUUCACCAGUCUUUUGUACGAUUUGAAAUUCCCAGAAUUUAACAUCGUGAUCAGCACUGCCAGUGAGAAAACCUGUCCCAUCUGGAAUUAAAGCAAUUGACUGAACAGAACCACCAUGGGCUUCCACUACUUCCACACAAGUACCACUUCUAAUGUCGAUAAUUUCUAAAGUACCGCCCUUUGUACCAACGACAGCAUACUUGUUGCCCGGAACAAACAGUCCACAGAGACCAUAUCCUGAAUCAAUUGUGUGGAGGCAAGAACCAGUUGUAGGGUUCCAUAUUUUAAUUGCAUUAUGACUAGUCGACAUCAAAAGAGUGUUAUCUGAGCUGAGAGUCACACUUCUGACAUCAGCACGAUGCCCCUGAAUCUCAAUAGCACUCAAUUUAGUAGUUGAACUGCUUUCUAUAGCAUGAAAUUCCAAUAAGUUAUUGUUCAAAGACAAAGCUAAGGUAGCCAGUGAAUUCUUUGAAGUAACUGGGGAGAAAGAAAUUGAGGAGAUCUUCUUUCCAGCCCAUAGGAUCUGAUGAAGCUUGAAGAUAUCCGGGACUGUAACAACAAGAUUGCUGCCUCCUUCAGCUUCAAUAUCCGUCUCUCCUUUUUCCGUUGCCUCACGGCCUUCUUUGGCAGCUUUCUUCUCCUUUCUACUGAUUCUUCUUUUUGCUUUGCAUUUAGAUUCAGACUCAUCCAGCACACGGAAUAUUUCCACCGUCUUCCCUGCAACUUGACAAGCCAGCAGGUUUCCCGACUUGUUAAACUUCACUGUUGCAACUCUAUCCUUGCUUUGCCGCUGAAUUUCACCGAAUGACUUAAGUACUUCCCAUUUGUUUUCAGUAGGCAACUCCUUAUUCAUAUCUGUUUUGUUUUCAUGAUUUAUAGAGUAAAAACGAAGUUCAGGGUCAGCAGAACCGGUGACCAGAUAUUUUUCCUCGGGGUCAAUAUCUAUGGACCAUAUUUCAGAAUGAUGACCACUUAUAAUCUGCAUGCAAUGUUGAGUAUCAAGAUCCCAUGCCCUCAAAAACUUGUCCUUAGAAGCCGUGACGAGUUUGUUGCCAGAAUCCAAGAAAACAAGAUCAGUAACCUGCAAGCAACACAGUUGGCAAUGGAACAAAAUUUAAAAAUUCACAAGUAGGCACGAUGAAGUCAUAAAUGGAAGUACGUUAUUCCUAGUUUGUUUGAAGAUAUUCAUGAACCUGAUCACGAUGCCCUCGAAGGCGAAAAAGACCAGUCUCCGCCACCACAUCCCACAAAAUAAUGUCAUUAUCUUUACCUCCUGAUGCUAGUAAUGAUCCAAGCUUAUUGUAUCGAAGUGCCGUUACAGCCCCUUUAUGCCCAUUCAAUGUGGUUUCACACAUCCCUUUCUCGGAAUCCCAAAUUCUAAUAGUUCCUUGAGCAUAACCACUAGCUAUCUGCAAUUAUGUCCAAUUUAUCACUAUUAAAACAAUGGGAAAAAAAUCAUAACAUACACAAUCUUUUCCUAUGAAACAUUGAGUAUGAAACCAAGCCAUUGACCUCGAAACACUGAAUAGGUUUAGCUUUCGUGCUUUCCUACGCCCCAAAUUAUUAUUAUAUUUUUGCAAGGCGUUACAUUUUGAACCCAUUUUUCAUGUUAUUUUAUUAACAUUAUUUGGUUCUGGCAGAAUAUAAGAACAAAGGAUGCUGGUUUAGCUGAAUACAACUGAAGUUUAGCAAUUAUCGGCACAGAAAGAAAAAAACAGAGGCUAAAAAAAUGAAGACGACUUACGCGGGAUGAUGAUGAUGAAAUUGAUGUGACAGCAUUAGAGGGGGCUUUUGAGUUUGAUGAAGGUAAAGGAGUUAGGGUUUUGGUGCAAAGACCCUGCCUCACAUGCCAUAUGCCAAUUUUCUCUAACGCCGGCACCAACAAGUGUUUGCCGGACGAAUCAUACGCAAUCUUUGAUUCAACCGAUACUAUAACCCCAAAACACGCCGCUGGUUCAUACCGGAGAUACGAUUUCACCAUGCUCUGAUUGUUAGGGUUUAACUUUAUCAGGGGUUUUGGAUUAUACUUUUUUUUAAUUUAUAUUGAUACAUUCCAAACUCCAAUGCUCUGACUGUUAGGGUUUAAGUUUAUCAGGGGUUUUGGAAUAUACUUUUUUUUAUUUAUACAUUCCUAUGCCGCCUUUGACACCCAAAUUUCAACCAAAAAUAAAUUAAUUAUUUAUCGUAAAAAAAUAAAAAAGGAUAAUAUUUUACUAUUUUAUUUUCUUUAGCAUUUUUCAGAAGAAAUCAAGAAAACGCCAUUUUACGUUCUUCUACGUUGUUAGCUAACACUCAUAGUCAUAUAUUAUUUCAUUUAAGAAAUUUAUUUUUUAUAUUUAUAUAAUAUCUUUUUGUUAUUUUACGUUUAUGUAUGAUUAUUUUAUUUAUUAUUUUGUAUAUAAUAACUAGAAAAAAGUAACAAAAAUAUUUUUGCAAAAUUAGAAAAAAAAAACAGCCCUCCAAAAAAAGGUAUAAUAUUGAUUAAAAUUUUGAAUAUGUACAUAUUAAAAUGGAUUAUAACUUAUAUCAACUUCUCAAUUUCUUGAACUAAAUUAUAUUGUUCUAAUUCUAUUACACUAAAACCUUAUUAAAUUAAUACUCGAUAAAUUAAUAAUCUCUCUAAGAUAAUAUAUUUCUUCAGUCCUGACUUAGGCCAAUGGGGAAAUCACGCAUUUCGAUAAGAUAAUACGAUAAUAUAUUUUCUGAAGAUCCCUAUAUAAAUAUAUGGUUCCAUUUGUUAGGGUUUUGUCCUGAUUUUCUUACCUUAUUUGAAAAAUAAAAUUCCUUAAAGAAAAGUCAAAGUAUUACCAUAAAUAUUUGAAAUUUUUCUGAAAGGAAAAUAUAAUAUUAUUUCAUAUUUUGUUUAAAGGUUUUGGAAUAGCUAGUCCUUUUCUAGUAAGAAAAGGUUUUAGGACUCUAUAAAUAUAGGUUUGUUUCUUCUAAUACAAUAACAAUAACAUCCACAAUGUAGUCGUUUAAGAGUCUUGUUUAUGAUGAAAUUUAUUCUCUCUAUAAAUAAAUGUUUGUUUCUUCUAAUACAAUAACAAUAACAUCCACAAUGUAGUCGUGUAAGAGUCUUGUUUAUUUUUUUCCUUAAAGAAAAGUCAAAGUAUUACCAUAAAUGUUUGAACUUUUUCUAAAAGGAAAAUAUAAUAUUAUUUCAUAUUUUGUUUAUUCUUUCCUUUUAGGAAAAUGUUUUGGAAUAGCUAGUCUUUUUCUAGUAAGAAAAAGUUUUAGGACUCUAUAAAUAUAUGUUUGUUUCUUCUAAUACAAUAACAAUAACAUCCACAAUGUAGUCAUUUAAGAGUCUUGUUUAUGAGGAAAUUUAUUCUCUCUAAAGUUUCAAUAUUUUUCUUUAUAUUAGUUUUGAUAUAAUAAUAUUUUGAUUUUUAGUAUAAGUUUUUGUUAUCUGUUUUAUCAACUAUAUGAUUUGCAAAUUGUAAGCUUCCGCAUGACGCCCUAAUCACCCUUCAUAACCCAUUAAGUGGUAUCAGAGCACAUGGUUCAAUGAUCCAAUGGUUCAACAAGAUUGAAGAAAGGUUCAAGUGGUUUCAAAUCAAUUUGCAACAAAGUUGAUGAUAAUAAAGAUUUUUGUGCUACUACAUGUGGAGAAAAUUUUAAAAAUAUAUUUUCAAUAAUAUCCUGUUGCUCCAUCGUUUAAACCAAAAUUAACUUUCAACUCAUGCUUACUUUAGAGCAUGAGCUCCAACUUUCAACCCCUGCAAACUUUAAUGCUCGGGCUCCACUUUUAACUCAUACUCCCUCUGUCCCAUUUUAUAUGACUCACUUUCCUUUUUAGUCAGUCCCAAAAAGAAUGACACAUUUCCAUAUUAAGUAACAAUUUAACUAUAAAAUGUCUAUUUUACCCUUAAUGAAAUGAUUUACAGCCACACAAAUUUCUAUCAUUCAUUUUGGACCACAAAUUUUAAAAGUCUUCCUUUCUUUCUUAAACUCCGUGCCGAGUCAAACUACCUCAUAUAAAAUGGGACAGAGGGAGUAUAUCUUUACUUUUAACGCAUGAGCUCCACUUUUAACUCAUGCAUCUUACUUUUAACGCAUGAGCCCUACUUCAACUCAUGCAUAUUACUUUUAACGCAUGAGCUCCACUUUCAACCCUGUUCAUAACUUUUAACACAUUGCUUCAAAUUUUUAACCCAUAUCAAUUUUUAAAUCAUGAUAAGCAGUAGUGAUACAUGAAGAUUUUGUGAAGAACAAGAUUAUCAAGCAUAUGAAGAAGACGGAUCAAGUUUUGUCAAGAAAAUUCAGCCAAAAGAAGAGAUUUGUUAGGGUUUUGCCCUGAUUUUCUUACCUUAUUUGAAGUUUAUUUUUUUCCUUAAAGAAAAGUCAAAGUAUUACUAUAAAUACUUGAACUUUUUCUGAAAGGAAAAUAUAAUAUUCUUUUAUAUUUGGUUUAUUCUUUUCUUUUAGGAAAAGAUUUGGAGUAGCUAGUCCUUUUCUAGUAAGAAAAGGUUUUAGGACUCUAUAAAUAUAGGUUUUCUUCUAACACAAUAACAAUAACAUCCACAAUGUAGUCGUUUAAAAGUUUAGUUUAUGGGGAGAUUUUCUCCUAAACAUAUUUAUGUUUUUUUAGUAUUAGUUUUCAAUAUGUAGGUUGAUUGACCAAACUAUAAUAAUAUUAUAUCUUUAGUAUGUUUUUAUGCGUCGUCUAAUUUAUCAUCUUAUGAUUUGUAAUUGUAAGCUUCCGUAUGACGCCCUAAUCACCUUCAUAACCCAACACCAUUAAUAUUAUAAAUUAAUAAUUCGUUAAAAGUACAAAUAUAUCUAAGACAAUUUAGUGAAAUAUGAUUAUAUUGUGUUUUAUUUUUUGUUAAAAUUUAAAUCUUGUUGAAGCUCUUCUUUAACUUUUCUUAUUAUAUCUAAAGUUUCGAUAUUGUCUUUUUUAACUGCACCAUAAAAUUGUGAGAAGUUCUAAAUGUAAUCAGUGAUUCCUAAUUUUAACUGGUUCAAAGGUAUUGUAUCAUCUUCUACUCUAUCAUCAACAUUAUUUUUUUCAAUGGUAUCCACAAUUUUUUUUAAGCUCUGGACCUAUGAACAUGUAUCAUUUUCACUCAUCCAACAUGUUAUUAACAUCCAUUUUAUUGCGAUAACCGAGAUCAUUAAUCAUGACCUCAAGUUCAUGAAUGACGUUUUCACAAGUGGAUUCAUUGAAAUCCUUUGAGAUUUCAUCCCCAAACGAAUUUUGCGAUAUCAAAACACUCUUUAAAUUAAUAAAUAUUAAUUUACUGAUUAAAUAAUAUCUCUAUAAAAUAAUAAUAAUUCAUGGUCUCACCUAUAUUAAUUUAGUGAGGUUUUACUAUAUAUUAGCAUUUGGUCAUAAAUUUUUAAAUAUUUUUGGCAAGCCAUUUUUGGAUGAAGUUUCACUAUGCGUUUGAUCAUAGAUUUUGGGAGAAACAUUUGACUUUUUAAAAGAUGAUUUAUACCCCUAAGUUCUAAAAAUUAUUAAAAAUACUCGUAAGUUUGUAUUAUCAUUUUAUAAUGAAAAUGUUCCGUGAAAAUUCAUUACAACGAACAUAACUAAUAUGAAUUUGAAAAAAAGAGGAAAAAAACAAAAGGAAAAUAUCAUUGAUUUGUAUACGAAAAACUACUAUUAUUACUUGUAAUGGUGACUUCGAAGAGCAACCUCGGAUAAAAAUUGUAUAAAAUAUGGAUAUAACCAAAACUAUAGAUGAUGAGUGUUUAUAAAAGAAAUACUAUAAAAGUUUAGGAUAAUUUUUAAAUUAUUAAAAAUUCUCAAAUACUAGAAUUUGGGCCAAUAUUGUUGGCAAAUAACUCAAGUAAAAUUUGGGGAAAAAUUGGCAAAUAGUGUUUGUCCAUACACUUUGUCAUUAUUUGGCAAAUAUUUUUGGCAAAUAACCCAAAUUUCCAAAUAUUAGAAAAAAACUAGUAUUUGGGCCAAAUCUCAUAAUUUGGGAACUUUUAAUAAUUUAAAUUCUAUACCAAACUUUUAUCUUUUACAAAAACACCCUCUAUAGUAGUUGCUUGCGUUGUUUUACAUAAAUUUUUUACGUUGAACAUCAAAGUAGUGAUGGAAUAUGCAGUGAAUAUGAAAGUGAUGAUAUGGUUGUUGAUGAAAAUGAUGAACAAUCGGCUCAGGGUAACAAAGUCAUGUGUUAUGUAAUCCAAACUUAUUGUUAGUUUUGAUAGUUUUUAAAACUUAUGGGUAUAAAUCAUAUUUCUUAAAAAAGUGAAAUAUGUUUCCCAAACACUAUGGUCAAACACAUGGUGAAAUUUCACCCAAAUAAUAUUUGCUAAAGUACUUGGAAAUCUAUGAUCAAACGCUAGCUAAAAGUUGGGAACUUGGAUGUUCGCCAAAUAUAUUGUCAAAUAAUGACAAAUUAUAUAGCUAAACAUUGAUUCCCAAAAAAUUUCCAAAACAUAUUUAUGGUCAAACGGGUCCUUAGUUUAAUAUAUAAUAACAAAUUUAAAAUUGAAUAAUUAAUUGGUUAAAUAUUAAAAUCAAAAGAGAAGACUCCUAGGGUGUGUUUGGUAUGGAUCCAAUUUUUUCAUGUUUGGUUGGCUUAAAUGUUUGAAAAAUGUUUUCCAAAUCAACUCAUUUUCCUCAAAUUUAAGGAAAAUGACUUUCCUUUCAAAAUUAAGGAAAAUAUUUUCCAAAACUCUACUUCAUCCUAUAAUUUUUUUCUUACCCUACUCAUACCCCGUACCCGACCCUACCACUAAACCCCUCCUCCCUGUCAAACAAAAAAGAAUAAAAAAAUUAAAAAUUAUUUUUAAAAAGUGUUUCAAUUUUUAAGAUUUUUUUUACCUCACCCAAUCUCUACCACCCCUACUCCCUACCCCCCCCCCUCCCAAGAAAAAAUUGUUUUUGAAAUUUUUUUCCUAGGUCAGAUCCUGGGUCAAAUUUCAGGAUCAAAUUUUGGAACGGUCAUCGGGGUCUUGUCCUAGUUUGGGUGUUGGGGUCGGGUCCUAGAUCAAUUAUCGGGGUUGAUUUUCGGAUUAAAAAUUAUUUUCGUAAAGAGUAUUUAUUAGUCUCAAGCCAAAAAUAAAAGAUAUUUUCUAAAAAAUAUUUUUCAUUCACCAACCAAACAUUAAAAAAUAUUUUCCAGAAAAUAUUUUCUACUCACCAAUCAUGAGAAAAUAAGUUAGAAAUCCACAUGUUUUCCAAGAAAAUAUUUUUUAGGAAAACAUUUUCCAUCCUAGCAAAGACACCCCUAAACAUGAAAGAAGUGCUUCAAUUCCUAAACCGACUAUUUUUUACUAUUAAAAAACUCCUAAACUAAAAGAAUACUUUAAUAUGGCAUCUAAAAAGAAGUUAGAGAAAUACAUUUUAAAUAAAAUUAUAGAAUCGUUUGAUGAAGAACAAAAAGUUCAGCCAAUAUUUUCAAGUCAAACAGACUCUUAGUAUACGUGCAGCUUAGCAAUUGUUAUCAAAAUUUAUAUUUAAAAGUGAUAAUCUUUUAAUAUAAUGUAUAACUUUAAAAAUAUUUGAAGUUGAAUACAUAUGCCAACAAAGAAAUGUUAUACAGUAUUAGUUUAAUAAUAUAAUGAUAAUUUGAAAUUGAAUAAUUAAUUACUUAAAAUUAAAAAUUAAAAAAAGACUCAAACAUAAUAACAUGCGUAAAUUUUCAAUGAUACGUAAAUUUUCAAUUUAUUCAUUAGAUACAUACACACUUAAUAAGAUACAGUGAUAUAAACUAAAUACAUAUAAUUGUAUCUCAAUAAUGAUACUAUCGUCAAUAUCGAAUUUGAUAAAUCUAUUGGGCUUGAAAUCUUUGGUUACAACGAUACCCAUUGUCUUUGUGAGCGAAAGGUGUUUCCCCUUGCGAGAAAAAAUGGUGGACUCAUGGGGAAUUGGUUUGAGUGUGAGAAAAUCAAAGGCUAAGAAUUUGAUGUGUGUGUUGACAAGCUGUGAGCAUCCAUUUUAAUGAAGUGUUUCUUCUAGGUAAAGUUUGACUCUUAGGAAGAGGAAAAGUUAGAGUUUGAGCUUUAUCCUAACUCAUACUCUCUAAGAUAAAAAUAUAUGUUUUUAAUUAAAACACUGAUUUGAAGUUUAAAUGUGAAGAUAAUUAAUCAAUCCUAGUUUUAAGGAUAUGGGUAUUGAUUGUAUCUUCAAUAAUAUAUGAUAUAGAAUAUUAAAAGUGAUAAUAUAUGUAAUUGUUUAAAAGUAGAGGUAAAAUUAGUAUAUAUGGUAGUGAUGUAUGCCUAAUGAAAUAGUUUAUCCUAAAAAAAUCACCUUACCAAUAUUGAUUUUGAAAAAGAAAACCUAAGUUAUGUUUUUCCUCGUUUUUUCUCCUAUUACUACGUUUUAUGUUCAUGUUAGAAAAAAUUACGCAAAAUGACAAAUAUUUAUAGUAUAUUACUCUUCAUAGCUAUAAUUUCAGAUAUUUAUGAUUCCCGGUUAAAGUUUCUUAAAUUUGCUAUUCGGUUUCUAGUUGUAUAAAUUCAGAAUUUGUAUAAUUCAAUUUCUAACGGUAUAAAUCCAAAUUUUGUAUAUGUUUACCCUAACUAUUUGUAUACAGUGGCAGAGCCACCAUAUCUUUAGGGGGUUCAUCCGAACCCCCUUCGGCAGAAAAUUAUAUUAUUUUUACAUGGUUAAAAUAAUUUUUUAGGUAUAUAUAGUAGAUGUCGAACCCCCUUAGUCUACUUCGUGUAUCUAUUUCUUCAGAUUUUGAACCCCCUAAUUAAAAUUUCUAGCUCCGCCACUGUUUGUAUACCAUUUGUUGAGACAUUUGAUUUGUAUAAGUUAUGAAAAAAAUCAUAAUAAAUUACCCUGUUUGUAUAUUGACAAACGAAAUAUACAAAUGGAGGUUUGAAAAUUUUAUAUGGCAACGAAAUGUACAAACGAAAUUCUGAAAAAUUCCUAAAUGUAUAAAUACAUAAUUUGAAUAUACUUACCUUGCCCUUAUCGAGGCCGGCAACAAACGAUUAUACGCCCCUUGAAAAUACUCUCUCAUCAUCAAGGUUAAGCGCGGAUCUAAAUGGAGGUCGGAGUUUCCUUUGUCAAAAAAUUAUAUGAGAAAAUAACAUUGUAUAUAUAAAAUUGGGAUAAGGGUCUGAAAAAUACCCCAACUUUGGUCGGAUUUGCUGUUGCGAUUACUAAACUUUUAUGAGAACCUAUUACCUCCCUAGACUAUUUAAUACCGUAUUUUAAACAUAUAUAUAUUUGUCCACGUGGACAUAAAAAAUAAUGCAAAAUUAUAAAUAGUAAUGUGUGCACGUGGGGACAUAUAUACCUUUAAAAUACAUUAUUAAAUAGUUCAGGGGGGUAAAAAAUACGGUAUUAAAUAGUUUAGGGAGGUAAUAGGUCCUUAUGAAAGUUUAGUAUCGCAACAGAAAAUUUGACCAAAGUUAAGGUAUUUUUCAGACACUUAUCCCUAUAAAAUUAAGUUCUAUUUUCAUGAGAAUAUUUAUUAAAAUGAACCCCUCAACCUUGUGAUUCCCAAUUUUGCCAACCCUCACAACUCCAUUCUUAAUCCUUGUCUCACUGUUUGUGUAUGAAGAAAAGUUGUGAAAGAGGAAAAACAAAGAGAGAAUUAAUGGGUCAAACCCCCAUUUGGUGGAUAAACUAUAGCUCCUACAUUUUGAAUUUUUGGGAUCUUCUUCUAUUACCUCAAUUUUGUCCAAAAUGAGAUUCACGACAAUUUACUGCCAUAAAUCUUAUGAGCUUGAAACGGAGUGUUUUUUCUUUGUUGGAGAUAUAUGUUUUUUUCUUAAAAAACAGUACAUGGAAUGCUUGGAUGUAAAAGUUUAUAUCUUCUCAUAUUUAUAUUGUUUUGGGAAAAAAGUCUGAAAUAUAUUUGAAUUUUGAUCGAAAUUGUUGUAACUAGGGGUGUGCAAAAACCUAUUUAACCAAUAAACCGAACCGAAAAAAACACUAUUGGUUUAUUGAUAUUGGGUUAUUGGGCUAACGGAUUUUAAACGGUUUUGUAAAAUUUUUUAUUGGGUUAUUGGUUCGGUUUCCGGUUUUAUAAUUUUUGUUAAUGGUUAAACCGAUAACCCAAUAAGAUUAUACUAAAUUUACUAGUCUUAUUGUUAAUGAUUAAACGAUUGUUACUUUCACACUUUUUCCUUUGAAUGUGUCUAGUGUCUAAACUUGCAAGAAAAUGAUUGUUACUUUUAUGAUUAUUACUUUCAUGCCAAAUGCUGGAAAAAUCAUAUGGUUUAUUUGAAAAUUUUCUUAUCGUGUAUAUAAUAUAUAUGAGUAUUUUCUUAUUGGUUAAACCGAAAACCGAACCGUUAAGUACCAUAAACCGAUUAACCAAAAACCGAUAAGAAAUAUGUUAUUGGUUUGGUUAUCGGUUUGACAUAUUUACAAACCGAAAACCGAUAAACCGAACCAAUAACACCUAGAACCGAACCGACCGAUGCGCACCCUUACAUAGUACCCCCUAGAUUAUGACCGAAAUCGUUGUAACGAUAUCAAACUUUGGAAAUGACCUUUUACCCCCUGCACUAUUUAAUAAUGUAUUUUAAAGGUAUAUAUGUGCCCAUGUGGACAUCAUAAAUAUUUCAUAAUUAUAAAUAGUAACGUGUCCAUGUGGGCACAUAUAUACCUUUAAAAUACACUAUUAAAUAGUGCAGGGGGUAAAUGGUCCUCCAUAAAGUUUGGUAUCGUAAUAACAAUUUCGGCCAAAGUUAAAGUAUUUUUCAGAUCCUUUUCCCUAUUAUUUUUAUUGGGUAGAAUAUUGCUAAAUAGAUUCAGUCAAACAACUCUAAUUCUUUUAUGUUAUGUUUCUAUUUAGAGGAUUCAUGUAUGCUAUUAACCUAUAAUUGUAACACCUCGAAAAUUGAAAGUUGAAUUGAAAAGGAAAAGUUACAAUUUUUUUUGUUGAGGCAGUGUCCUACGCAAGCCGCCUAUGGGCCGUAUGUAGGAAGGUAGUCGUAGGAUUGAGUUGAGCUUUGAAAAAUGUCAAGUCUCUGAGAAAUUUUACUUGUUUCAUGCAAUGAAAGAUUUAAUUGCGGGUAGGAGGGUAUGUGUUGUUGAGAAAGGCAGAGUUGCCAGUUGAAAUGGGUGAAGAGGAUCAAGCCACACAACAUGUUCAAGGGGGUUGUCGUUACACUCAAAUCAAUGCGAUUGGAGAUCCUAGUAAUUUUAAAAAAAAAAAACAUACAACAGUAAAAUCUCUAUAAAUUAAUAUAGGUGGGACCAUGAAAUUUUAUUAUUUUAUAGAGAUAUUAUUUAAUUGAUAAAUUAAUAUUUAUUAAUUUAAAAAAUGGUUUAAGAUUUAAUGAAGGUUAAUUUUGAUUAUAUCAAAAUCAUUGUAUCUUACUAAUUUAUGUAUCAUAUUUAUUGUAAUCACAUAAAAAAAAUACUAUACAUAAAGUACAAUGAAUACAUCAAAAUCAUUGUAUCUUACUAAUUUAUGUAUCAUAUUUAUUGAAUUUUGUCACUAUCGUGCAGUAUCAUAUUUAUUGAAUUAUCACUAUCAUGCAAACAAAACAAUAUGGAUAACAAGUGUGUUUUUUGAUGAAUAUAUUCGUUGGUUUGACCACAAAAUGCAUGGUAGACGAGAUUUGCUUAUGGUAGAAAAUUGUGUAGCUCAUAAUAGAAAUAUUGAAGGACUACAAAAUGUUGAAUUAUUUUUCUUGCCACCCAACAUGACAUCUAAAAUUCAACCUUUUAUGAUGCUUGGAUAAUAAAAGCUUCCAAGAUGUAUUAUCGUAAUAGAUUUUAUCGUAGAAUAUUAGAAGGCUAUGAAGUGGGACAAACUAAUCAAGCAAAGAUUAAUGUUUUGGAUGCUAUCAAUUUUGCAAUCCCUACUUGGACAACAAAUGUUUAGCAAGAUACAAUAGCAAAUUGUUUUCGACACUAUAAAAUUCGUUCGGGGGAUUCAAUCUCGGAGAAUUUGAAUGAUGCACUUGUCAAAACGUCAUUCAUGAACUUGAGUUCAUGAUUAAUGAUCUUGGUUACCACAAUAGAAUGGAUAUCAAUAACCUGUUAGAUUAUUCGGGUGAAAGUGAUACAUAUUCAGAGAUCUAGAGCGUAGAAGAAAUUGUGGAUAUCAUAGGAAAAAAUAAUGUUGAUGAUGAAGUUGAAGAUUAUACUAUACCUUUGGAACCAGUUAUGCGUAAGGAAGCACUUUUCGCAUCUAUAACUCUUCACAAUUUUAUGGUACAGUUCGAAAAGACAAUAUCGGAGCUCUUGAAUGCAUUAAGAAAAGUUAGAGAUAAGCUUCAACUAGAUUUAAAUUUUAAGAAAAACAGAACACAAUUGAAUCAUAUUUUACUAAAUUGUCUUAGAUAUAUUUGUACUUUUAAAGAAUUAUUAAUUUAUGAUAUUAAUGGGACCAUAUAUUUAUAUAGGGAUCUUCUGGAAAUAUAUUAUCUUAUUAUCUCAUCGAAAUUUGUGAUUUUUUCCAUUGGCCCAAGUUGGGACUGGAGAAAAAUAUUAUUUUAAAGAAAUUAUUAAUUUACCAAGUAUUAAUUUAUAGAAGUUUUACUGUAUUUUGAUGAUUGAUUUAAAUAAUGAUUUACUUUUAUCAGAAAUUCUUUAAAAAAAAGAAGGGGAUGAUAAUAUUUUACAGAAUAUAAAGUUAAAAGACAAUCAUUAAAUGAAAAAGAAAUUAUUAUCCUUUAAAAUAUUUUAUGAAAAGAAAAAUAUUCUGAAAGAAGAUAAAAGAAGGAAGGGAAGUGCAAGAUUUAUCCAUUUGUCAAUCAAAAGAAUAUGUCACACAAAGUAUAACUUAGCAUAUGCCUCAGACACAUAAACAUGUCUCACACAAAGUAAUUUUAACUUUUGUUAUUGAUUCGUCGACUGUCAUUCAUUAUCCACCGCUUUCGUUUGUCGGACUACUCUGGUUAGUAAAAUAUUAAUUUUUAAUAUUUUAUCUUAGGAUUAUUCUAUAUUUUGACCUUUUAUAAUUAAUUGUUUCUAUUUUGCUUUAUAAAUUUCAUUGCCAGAAUCCUCGUCAAACCAACAGGUAUGUGGUCCUUUUUUAUUUUAUAAUGUAAUCUCUUUACUUUUAAAUAUGAUAAUACUGUAAUAUAUAUUUUAUUAUAUACCAUCUUAGAAUAUAUUUUAUAAAUAAAUUACUUUAAGAUCAUGAACAUUUUAAAAAGUUUUAAUUCUGAUAUGUUUUUUAUUCUACAAGUAGUUUUCUUCUUCAUUUAAUAUGUUUGUGUUAAGGACAAAAGUUUUAAUUCUGAUAUAUGUGUUUGAGGACAAAAGUUUUAAUUCUGAUAUAUUUUUUAUUCUACAAGUACCUGAUGGUCAAAUUUAGUUUUCAACUGAUUUUCUUGUAAAAUUUAUUAUAAGUGUCCCAAAUUCUUUUCACGAAUAAAAAAGUAAAUUACAAUAUUUUUGCAAGAAAAUAGUUUUAAAUUACAAUGUGUUGCAAAUAAAAACAGUUUUAAAUUCUUUUCUUACUUUUUCCUUUUUUUCAUAUAGACUUUUUUUAUUUCUCUUAUUUUUACACUGACGAAUGAAAGAAAAAAAUAAAAAUAAGAAACUCAAACAAUGAUAAUCAAAUAAGUUAAAAAAGAAUUCAUGUGUGGAAAAAAUUAAAUAUAUCUCUAAACUUUGCUAGAAGGAUUAUAUAUAUACCUCUACAUGAAUUUUUUUAAAAUUAAAAAUCCCGUUAGUUGAAAAGGAUAUAUAUAUAUAUAUAUAUGAGCCAUUUUGUGACCAUAUGAAUAUAUGUGAGCCACUUUUAUAAUAAUAGAAAUAUAUGUGAACAACUUUUACAAAGAGAGAUAUGUCAUGUCUAAAUGACCAAACUGAUGAAUAUAUCAUGUCUUCCUUUUUAUAUUGUUAAAUUUGUUUCUUUUUAAAUGAUUAAGGGUAACUGAAUUAGUAAUUUAUAUGAGUAUCUAAUCAAAUUUACCCAUCUUAAAUUACUUAUUUUAAAGUGAGUAGUUAAAUGGAUAAAAUAGACCAUUUAUAGUUUAGAUAAUUAGGCUAACACAUUAUGGGUAUUGAUUUCUGUCACCAGAUUAUUAUGGUUGAUUUUGAAAUUUUGAGAUCUUUUUCAAAUAUUCUUAAACAUAUUAGUUUUUUAUUUUUCUUCUUGAAAAAUCGAUGAUGAUUUAUAGUUUGUUUGAUUUCAUCUGUUCUCUUCAUACUCGAAACUCAAAAAAAUAAAAAUUGAAGUCCCUAAUUUCGUAUUUAUUGAAAUGAUUGUCGGGAAAUAUUUUUACAACAACUCGGUGAUAAAAAAUAAAUUUUUAAUUGAUUUGAAUUUCUCAUUGGAGUUUUUAUUGAUUUGGUUUAAAAGAAAGUUUUAAUUGAAUUUUAAGGUGAAAGUAGAUCUAAAUUGAUAGGUUGAGUGUUCAUGGUGGAAGAAGGUCUAGAAAGAAUAGAAAAAUAUAGAAAAAGUAGGGAAAUUUCAAAGAAAAAAAUAUUUAAAUCAUAAAUAUAGUGUUAGAUGCGUGUAUUUUACUCUUUGGACAAAAAAAUGGUUUCGACUUUUAAAGGAGGUAGUAGUUUCACUUUAAAAUAAUGACCCCGCAAAAUUGAAGUGUGUUACAAUAGUUUCUACCAAAAAUUGUGUAUUUUGAGCCAUUUUUUUCUCAAUUUAUGUGAUGUAUUUUCCAUUUUAUUUUAUCUAAAAAAAAGUAUAGUAUUACCUUUCCAUAUAUAAAAUGUGAAAAUCACUUACACUUCCAUAUAUAUACACUUUGAUUUCAAAAAUCAAAGUUCUUCCUCAACUAUGAACCAUAGAUAUUCACCCUUUCAUAAAUAGAAAAAUUCUCAUUUUAUUCUUAAUGAAUUAUAACCAUACAAAUAUUUUAGAUAAUACAUUUCAAAUAUUUUUUUUCAAAAACAGAAUACAUGAACAUAGCAUGGGAUAUUAUUUUCAUUAACUAAUUUAUAUGUACUAAAUUCUCACACACGUCUCUUCGUAAUAUUCCAAACAACAACAACAUGCCCAGUGAGAUCCCACUAGGUGGGGUCUAGGGAGGGUAAAUUGUACGCAGACCUUGCCACUACCUCGUGGAGGUAGAGAGGCUGUUUCCGGGAGACCCUCAGCUCAAGAACAACAAAUCUAAGUGACAGGAGAGAUAUAAAUAAAACAUAACAGCCAAUACAAACGAUAGCGUAUAAUCAACAAAUGAGACAGUAACAACAAGAAAGUAAUGCGAUGCGUGAAACGCAGUAAACAACAUAAGGCUAUGUCUACUCCAAAUGCUAACAACCCAUACCCUUGCAAGGGAAGACAACACGCUAGCCCUACUAACCUACAACCUUAAUACGAGACCUCCACUCCUUCCUAUCUAGAGUCAUAUUAUAUGAUAUAAAAAAAUAUGUAGAUGUUGAAUAAAAAUCUUUUAGAAGAAAGUACUAGGUAGUAUAUUGACCCAAAAAAGCAACAUGCAUAAAAACUGAACAACAUGUUGAUCAUGUUUAAGUUUUAGAGUUGUUAAAUGUACAGUAUAAAGUGGUCUACCCAUUAUAUUGAAGAUGCUAACAGUCAAUAAUAAAUACACACAAUUUGGAAUUGAUGUGGGAAUGCUUGGAAUUUCAACUAUCAUAGAUAAGUAUUCAUAGCUAUAUGACAUAAAAGUGGUUCCUUAGAAAACAUUACUCCAAAAGAACAUCAUGGCUGCAAGAAACAUAGGUUCUUGAGAGGAUAAGCAAGAUAGGAAAGUGAUCAUGCAGUUUGUGAGACGAUAAUGAUAGAUAUCGUGAGAGAAAUGAACGAUAAGUAUCUCGAGUUUUAUCCUCAAUUGCAUCAAGAAAAUAUUGUCAAACUACUGCUUCAAGAAGUGUAAUUUCUAUCUUGGCCAAAUUCAAGAUCUUCUGUCUUGUUUAAUUCAAAGGAAACCUCCACCAGAAUACUCAACCUCCUGCAUUUCAACGGCUCCAAAACGUUAUGAAAACGAAAAGUACUAGGACAAUAAAUUCAUGAAUGAUUUUCUUAAACAACCACUUCCAGACAUAACAGCUAGAGAAAACGCAUGCUAGAUAGAACAGUAAUAAAGAUUAAAAUCUGCAUAAAAGUAGGGAAGACAACAGAAUUGAAGGACAAAUAUGUGCAAAGGAAAACUCAAUAAGAUUAAAAGUAGUUCUCAAUCACACCAACUUAUUGAAAAC